GUUUUUUUUUUGUCACUAGUAAAUUGGUUUGGAUUCUGGGUUCCUCAGUAAGCUAGAUGGUGUAGGCCAUGAUCUAUUUUCUGAAGAAGAGUAGGGUUCAAUCAUUUGAUUACUUCUAGGCUUAGGACAACAAGGUAUGGCAUUUUAUGCCAUCUGAACAGCUGCAACAGGCGGUUUAUGGAGAUCUUACAAUGAUGGUGUUUAAUGGUCAUGUAUGGGAUGGACAUGGAACAGGAAUACAAUGUUGAGGAAAAAACGACGACUCCGGUGCGCCUUCGGUGAAGGUUAAGGGAUCCACACUAUACUGGUGAGUUUGAGGCACCAGAGCCUGGAACCAAGUCUGGGGUCUGAAAGAAGCACCCCAUAUGGUGCAAUGCAAUGCUGUGAUGUUGAUGUGUUGUUGUUGUCACUGGUUAUUACUCUGCUUUCUUGCACUAUUAGCAGUUUCUUGCUACUGUUAAUCUUCAGAGUAUCGUAUAAGUUCGAUGAAAGAUGGAGCUCUGUAAAUUUAUUUAUUCAGAAUUUGAUGUCGGACUAGUAGUACUUGAUAGAAAUUACCCUAAGAUAAAAAUGAUACAAACCGAGAACAAAUACAUGAAUUCCAGUGUAUCCUUAUCGUACACACGCAUGCGUGUAAAUAUGCAAAACAAAGAUUCAACAAACUUCACUGAAUGCAUCUGCUCCUGAUAUUGAGAUGCUUGCCAUGACAUCGCUUGUAAGAAGACGAGCUUCUUUAAAAUGAAUAGCAUGUGUGCGCCAUUCACAAUGUUUUGAAAUCUAAGCACGAUCCAUAACUCAAGUGAAAACAAGGCAAUCCAGUUUUGAGUAGCACCUUACUCAUAAUAAGCUGUAAAUCCAGCCACAUUAAUACCACUGGUCGAAACCAAGCUUGUCUUUGUCAAGACAUGGGCUGUAUUUGAAAUUUGAAUUUCAUAGCAUGACAUACUCCUAAAACACGAAGACAAGGUUUUUCUUUUUCCGAAAAGGAGGAUGACCCCCGACACGAAGACACAAAGACAGAGGUAGCAGAUACAAAGAGCUCUUGUUCUUGUAAAUAACCCUAACCAAACCAUCCAACGCAGCCAGCAGCAGCAGCUCAUCUUCAAAGUCUUUCUGGGAGGCAAAAGUAGAGAGAUCCAUCUUUCUUGACGCCAUUUGGUUACAUCAUCGUCCACCAGCAACUGCGUGUGGGGCUUCAUCGGAGGCCGGCAACCGGCCCCAUGCUGCACCGUAACAAAGAAUUGAUCAGAUAACAUGACGAACAAAAUAGGGAAAGGAGCACUUUGCCCCCUCAAAAUCAUUUCAUCUUUAGCUGUCCAUAUCCACCAAACUAUAUAUAGAUGGAAUGCAUCCACGUUGGAGGUACACAACAACGAAAACUGCUCAGUGUCUGAUUAGCAAAGCUUUGACUAGGUUAACCAACUCUUGAGCAUAACCAGCGAAAAAACAUACAUACUAGAGCAUCCAAACAAAACAUACAGGAUAUAGCCCCUACUACACAUUCACCAUUGAGUUUUCAGGUCAGCUGCCUACUUAAUCAGCACCAACUACUCUUUCUUUCCUCUGGCUUGUAUCAACAUCAAAGACGGCAUGACAGGAAAAAUCACAGACUACUAGUGGUUGCCUACAACAAGCCGACUUUGCGGCAUGACUCAACAUCAGAAUAAUGUAGCAGUACUACAUAUCUAGAGACAGAAAACGAGAGAAGGCGAGCAGACCUGAAUACAAAUAUCUAUCUACCUAAGCAGAAAAUGAGAGGAAUAAAGCAACUUAUUCAUCAACGUAUUUGGGCACUCUUUAACUUAAACUACUCAACAAUGUAAGCCACAAGCAAAAACACUGAAAUUCUAGUCAAUGGCAUGUUUAGCAUUCAUAUCUUGGUGCACGUGUUUGAAAAAACAGUACGAGAUAGUCUGUAUGUACCUCCAAUGCAGAACCUCGUGUAGGGCAUGACCUUUUCAAUGCUAAAUUCACCCAUCUUGUUGGCUCGGCCUGAAUUAAGCUCAACUGCAUACAACCCAGCCGGAGUUCUGAGGAAGAUUACCCUAACUCCUUCAGCAAAACCAACCGUCCACACAUCCGAGCUCGACAUGUCCAAGAGGGCACGAGGAGGGAGCAACGGCUCGAGCUCGACGACCCUGCGUCGUGUCCAUGCCGCAGCUCCUCCAGGACCAGCCUCCAUUGACCAUAGAUAGAGUCUAGGCUUGCGCACUGACGCAAACAGCAACAUGCCAUCCUCCACACCCAGGAGGUCAAGGUAUCCCUGGUCCAGGAUCUCUGGCGCCUUGAUCACAGACAGUUGUUGCUCACGAAUGUUGUACUCCACGACGCUGUCACCCUCAUAAUUGGGGACAUAUACCUUAUUAUUUCCCACCACAGCAGUGCGCCCCCCGGUAUCGAUUUGAAGACCCGGGGUCUGAACGGAGAUCAUGUCGCUCCACUGACGAGUCUCCGAUGAGUAGACAGUGGCGAGGGUAAUGCUUCCUUCAUCUGCAGAGCCCACCAGGGCCACGAGGAAAGGGCCACCAUGGCAGUCGAGGUGGUCACAUCGGUCUAUGGCGCAGAACACCGUGGCAUUACAGUGUAUGCUGCCAUUGUAAUAGUCGUCGGGGUCGUCGCCCGGCCAGUGCAUGAUGUCGUGGCACUUGGGGUCGUCGUCGAUCUCCCGCCAGUUGUCGGUGACGAGGUCGCAAACAUCGAAGGGGGCAUGGUACCCAGGGGCGUAGAGGAGGGCGAGGCCGUGCCGGGAAUCAAGAACGUGGCAGUCCCGGUGGUCAUGGGAUGCCGGCCGGCGGAAGGUCGAGGUGGAGACAAAGCGGUUGCCCCUGCGGUAUUCGUUGUGGAGGAAGCCCAGCAUGGGCGGCGCCCCGUGGAGAGCGCGGUAGCCGCGGGCGAAGCCGGGGUCGGAGAGGAUGGCGCGCCAGCCCCUGCAGACGGCGGCGGCGCGGAUGAGGCUCCUGGGGUCGUCCACCGGGAGGCGCAUGAAGACCGCGCGCAUGGCGUCGUCAACCAGCGGCGGCGGACUCAGCGGCAUCGCCAUGGGGGUGAUGACCUUUUCAAUGCCCUGUUCAUCAUGCACCUUGUUGACUAGUCUGUAUGUACCUCCAGUGCAGAACCUCGCGUAGGGCAUGACCUUUUCAAUGCUAAAUUCACCCACCUUGUUGGCUCGGCCUGAAUUAAGGUCAAUUGCGUAACACCCAGCCGGUGUUCUGAGGAAGAUGACGCUAACCCCUUCCGCAAAACCAACCGCCCAGAUGUUCGACUCCGACAUGUCCAAGAGGGCACGGGGAGGGAGCAAUGGCUCGAGCUCGACGACCCUGCGUCGUGCCCAUGCCGCAGCUCCUCUAGGACCAGCCUCCAUUGACAAUAGAUAGAGUCUAGGCUUGAGCACGGAUGCAAACAGCAGCAUGCCGUCCUCCACACCGAUGAGGUAAAGGAAUCCCUGGCCCAGGUUCUCUGGCACAUUGAUCACAGAUAGUUGUUGCUCACGAAUGUUGAACUCCACGAGACUGUCACACUCAUAACUGGGGACAUAGACCUUAUCUCCCACCACAGCAGUGUGCCCUCCGUCGUCAGUGCGCAAACCCGGGCUCCGAACAGAGAUCUUGUCGCUCCACUGACAAGUCUCCGACGAGUAGACAGUGGCGAGGGCAAUGCCUCCUUCCUCCACAGAGCCCACCAAGGCCACGAGGAAAGGACCGCCGCCAUGGCAGUCGAGAUGGCCACAUCGAUCUUUGGCGCAGAGCACCGUGGCAUUACAGCGUAUCCAAGUCCCGCUGAAGAAGUCGUCGGGGCCGUCGCCCGGCCAGUGCAUGAUGUCGCGGCACUUGGGGUCGUCGUCGAUGUCCCACCAGUCGCCGGUGACGAGGUCGCGGGUCUCAAAAGGGGGGUCGUACGCAGGGGCGUAGAGGAGGACGAGGCCGUGCCGGGAGUCGAGGACCUGGCAGUCUGGGCGGUCCUGGGACGCCCGCCGCCGGAAGGUCGAAGUGGGGACGAAGCGGUUGCCGUUGCGGUACUCGUUGUGGAGGAAGCCGAGCAUGGGCGGCCCCCUGUGGAGCGCGCGGUAGCCGCGAGCGAAGCCGGGGUCGGAGAGGAUGGCGCGCCAGCUCCUGCAGACGGCGGCGGCGCGGGCGAGGCUCCUGGGGUCGUCCGCCGGCAGGCGCAUGAAGACCGCGCGCAUGGCGUCGUCGACCGGCGCCCUCAUCGCCAUGGGGGUGGAGAUCGGGAUGAUGGCCCGUCGGCCGUCGGGAGUCGGGGUGAGGAUGGGGAAAAAGAUGCGGUUGCGGCGGCUGAGUCGGGGUGGGGGCGUGACCUAGGCGGCGGCUCUAAUUGGGCCGGGAUGCCUUGUACUCUCAACAUCUGGGCCGGGAUGAAUUCGGCUUCUUCGGUUAACCUGCUAAAAUAACGAUUUCUGUUCUAAAACAAAAACCCGUGUGUGUUAAAAUAACGAACCGAUUGAAUUUUGUUUGGUCACUCCCAGUAACACAGCAAACUUUGCUAAAAAAAGAGUAACACGGGAAACCGAAUCUUCCUGUGCACCGAAAAACCGAAUGCUAUUUUCCAUCUAAAAAAGAAAAAAAACCAAAUGUUAUGGCAUGAUGAUGAUAAUGGGAUGCACCAUGUACACUGUUAACAAAGCAGUUUUUAUGAUUGUGCCCAAUGUGUGCAAUGCACGGCUAAACUUAUCAAAUAAGGAGGAUAAUGACUUUUUUUUCUUAUACUGGUGAAGGAUUAGGACAGGGUGGCCCUUUGUCUCCUCUCUUGCUUAACCUGAUAGUAGAUGCCUUCUCUGGGAUGUUAGUCAAAGGCUCUCAAGCAAGUUUGAUUAGUGCGGUUAUCUCCUAAUUUAGUGGAGGGUGUCAUGUGCCUGCAAUAUGGAGACACACCCUCCUUUCUCGGAGAAUGGUCAUUGAAUAUCUCUUAGCCUUAAGUGGAUCUUGGCUUCUUUUGAAUAAGUUUCUGGAAUGGGGAUUAAUUAUCACAAGACUGCUUUGGUGCCUAUUAACAUGGAUACUAGUGAAUUACAUGCUUUUGCGGAUAUAUUUUAGUGUGUAGUAGGUGAUUUUCCCUAUAAAGUAUCUGGUAAUUCCUUUGCAUUUUGAAAAGACUAGUACAGAAGAUCUUCAACCUUUAAUUGAUAAAGAUUCUUGCUAAGAUUCACUACUACAUAUCAUAGCCUUUAAUUGCCAAGAUUCUUGAAUGAAUUUAGCAUGAUGAUAAUUUGUUGUCAUCUCAAACGGGAAAAAGGGGGGCCCUAGCACCAGCGAUCAACUAUUAGAGCUUCCUUUAGCUCGUUUGUACUGCUCAAACAAAAAAAUGUAGGGAUUUUGCGUUUCUUUCAAAUUCACAAAUAUUUCUCAAAUAUCAUUCAAAUUUCAAAUUCAUGACCUUUUUGUAAAUUUUGAAAGAAAAUGAAAACCCGAACACUUUUCAGAUUCAUGAACAUUUUUUACUGGACAAUUUUCAAAUCUUGUUCAUCGUACAAAUUUCAAGUUCAUGAAGUUUUACACGAACUUGAAAAAAACUAUGAACACUUUUCACUAAACAAUUUCCAAAUCUUGUGAAUGUGUAAUUCUUCAUGAAGUUCUGCAUGAGUUGAAAACCACUCACUCUCUAUUUUUUUCAAAUUCAUGAACAUUUUCCAUUGGACAUUUUUAAAAUCUCGGUCUCUGAACAACUUCCAGAUUCACAAACAUUCUUCACUAUUUUUUUUGAAAUAAUCAAACAAUUUUCAAAUUCAUGAAAUUUUCCAGGACAUUUUCAAAUCUCAUUCGCUGGACAAAAUUUAAAUUCGUGAACAAUUUUUAAAAGCAUGAAGAGAAUUUUAAAUUAUAAACAUUUUUAAAAAGAAAAAAAUUAUAAUUUUGAAUAUUUUUUUUCGAGAUUUUUCACAUUUUUUAAUUAAUGAAGUUAGAAAAAAAGAGAAGAAAAUAAAAAAGGAAAGGAACAUAGGAAAAAAUGAAAUAAUCUAAAAUAAAUAAAUAAAAGGUAAACCAGAAAAUGAGUAAAAAAUGGUUUCGAAAACCUUCAAAGAUUUCUACUUCCUCCAUCACAGUUUAUUGGGCGUAUCUCGCGUCGCUCUGGGCCCAAGGUGCAGUGUGAUUGGCAGGAAAUAAGGAGGCGCUGGAGCUGCGCUAUUGAAGGAGAUGCGCCUAAUGAAUCGCUAAACCAACACAUGCGGGAGGCCAUGCGGAGCAAAUAUGAAACCGAUUCCCACUUGCACUCAUGUUCACACUUGCAUGCGCUGCACAAACCAUUUAUGUUCCCACUUGCAUGCGGUUGAGAAAGAGAAACAGAAACAGCCUAAUGCGCCCCAAUUAAUAGGAUAGUUAAGGAGCUGCGCCCUAUUUCCGUGGGAUUGUAAAAAAAAUCUGAUUUUGAAGAGGCAUCUAACAAACUGUGAUGAAGGGAGUAAAACUAAUCUGCACCUCUCCUAAUGGUUCGACACAAGCUUCGUUAUGAUUCCUAAUGGGUCGGCUCAUGUUCCUAUGCUAGUGGGCGAUCGGAGUUUUAAUGCUCACAAUGAGCGAUACAUGUCAUUACUGGUGAACAAAGAUUGAAAGAACGCCAGGCGGUUGGGCCUUGCCAUCUAGGCGUCUCUAAUUGGGUCGGGAGGGCUUGUACUCAACAUGUGGGGCGGGAUGAAUUCGGCUUCUUCGAUUACCUAAAAUUUAAAAAGUGCAUACGCACUGUUUGGGCGAAUCGAGCGCCCGGCUCCUGGCCACUCGAUUCAGCGCGGACAUAGACCAGGUGUCAUCUGUGUUGAAUCAUUUAAACUGAUUUUGGACUGUUGCUCUUUAAAAUAGUGGGCCAGGGAAUAUAAUUAGAAGGAAACGUAGUACGUGAUGUCCAUUCUCUCUCUCCGCAUGUGACUGAUUUAACUACUUUUUACAAAAAUUAAAAAAAUCAUAUCUUUUAAACCUUGCAUCGGAAUUCAGAUCCGUUUUCACAUUUGGCCUCCUCACAUCGAGAUCUUUAAAACUAGAUCUCGCAUGGGUAUGUUUUGAUGAAAUUUUUUUGAUGCCAACUUUGGAGCUAUAUGGUGCAACUUUAGUACUGUGUUGUGUAACUUUAGUACUACAUGAUGUAACUUUUCUCAAAACAAAAAUUUAGAACUGCAUAAUCCAACUUCCUAUGUGGUUGCAACGUAGCAGCCAUGACAACCUGAUUUGCAACUAGUCUACUGCCGUGGCCAACUACCUACUCGUAGAUGUGCAACCAUCCUUCGAGAAAUACACUUUGGUUCCUGGUUGUAUAUGCACCCUAUAUGGGGAUUUUUUUUAAUAUUUUAAUAAAAUUCAAAAUAGGUAAGAACUAUUUUGACAAAACACUUGACUUACUUUUGCACUGAUAUAUAAAUGUCGACGAAAAAAAACAAAAGUUGACCUCACAGCAAAAAAGACAAAAUUUAUUUGCUACUAUAAGUCACUAUUCACACUAUUUUAGCCAAAAAAUUGUCUUUUUUGAAAAGAAGUCAAAAGGAUAUAUUUUUUUGUGGAUUUUAUUUCUCACGAGUACAAUAGAAGGUCAAGUUUAUUUAAAAAAUAUUUUCGGGAAUUUUUAACUUUUUGUUGAAUUACUAAUUUUUUCCCAUAUAGGGUGCAUAUGUCCCCAUAGACCAAAAGUUCACCUCCACCAUCCUCCCUACUUGUAAUGUAAUCUAGUUGCACACACAUUGAUGUUUAGUUGGCAGGAAGACUAGUUGCACACACAUAUGCUUAGUUGGCUUUUAAUAUUGUCUAGUUGCAUACACAUUGAUAUUUGGUUGGCUUGUAAUGUAGUCUAGUUGCACACACAUUGAUGUUUAGUUGGCUUGUAAUGUAGUCUAAUUGCACACACAAUGAUGUUUAGUUGGUAAGAAGACUAGUUGCACACACAUAUGCUCUGUUGGCUUGUAAUGUACUCUAGUUGCACACACACACAUAUGCGUAAUCGAGGUGACAAUGUAGUCUAGUUGCACACACAUUGAUAUUUAGUUGCCAGGACUAGUUACACACAUAUAUGCUCAGUUGACGCGUCAAUGUAGACUAGUUGCACACAUAUUGACGUUUAGUUGACAGAAAGACUAGUUCAUCGAAACAUCCCCAUUGGGAUCUAGUUUUGAAGAACACGUCGCGAGGGUUUCAACGGUGAAAACGGAUCUGAAUUUCGACACACGGAUGGAAAGUUAUGCCUUUUAAAAUUUUAAAAUCCCAAAAUAAAUAUAAACAAACACAUGCACAUGCAUAUGUAUGCACAAGAGGAGAUGCAUAUGCUGGCAUUUAGCCCCUCCGUUCGUAAAUAUUUGUCUUUCUAGAUAUUUUAAAUGACUAUUACAUAUGAAUGUAUGUAGACAUAUUUUAGAGUGUAGAUUCACUCAUUUUGCUACGUAUGUAGUCACUUGUUGAAAUGCAUAGAAAGACAAGUAUUUAGAAACGGAGGGAGUAAUACGUAACAAGAAAAUGGACUACUAAACUAAAUAUGUAGCAUAGACAGAAAUAGUACAUGCACGCAAUUUAGAAUUUAGGUCGGCGCUCGGUACGGCUACCGAGCAGCCGGCCGCUUGCUAGACUUGCUAAAAUACCAAAUUGACCGAUUAUUUUUGGUGAGUAACACAGAAACCGAAUUUUCCUGUACACCGAAAAAACGAAUCCUAUAUAUACUUAAGUGAUUCAUCCCCACUACAAGUAUUUAUCUCAAACAUGCAGGCCAUCUAACUCAGGAUCCUACCACAUCAGUGAACUCCUAAUAUGCAUGAUGCCACGUCGAACGGGACGAGACUUGCCUGCUCCCUUCUCAUGCUCCCAUCCGUGCUUCCACAUACGUGACUUAAUUUGAUUAGAACAAAAUAAGAUCCGCCCCUACCCCCUUAAAAUCAGGGAGGAGAUGAUUAAAUUAGAAAGAAAAAAAGGAAAAAGACAAUCAUAGAAUGAAAUGUGAGCAUGGAUGAAAGCAUGGAAAAGGGAGCAGGCAAACCGAAUCCCGUCGAACAUGCUGCUACCCGCGUACAGAAAGGAGCGAGGCACGACGUUUUGUUACCAUCCCACAUCUGCUUCAUCCAUUAACCACGGGAUCCUCAAUAAUAAAAUAAAUGCGUGUUAUCUUCUCCGCAAUGCCAUUGGUAUUCUCCCACUUUUUAUUUCCGCCUCCUGUUCGUGGUUGUUUGGAUACUGAGAAUUAGUUGUGAGAUUAUAGGAAACGAGUUUUUGGAGGAUUUUUAGCAAAACCGGUUUUGCUAUUUUUUUUCAGUUACGGUGGGUAUGUACAAGUUCGUAUCCUCCGUCCGGUUCCACUCACCUAAAUAAAUCAACCCAUUCAAACUCGGCCAUGCAAAACCUACCAUACACAUGCUCAAAAAAAAAUAAGCCUACCAUACACACCUCACCUUCAGGGGCGAUGGUGGUGCUGCCAGCCCGGCGUUCGUGGGGGUCGCCCCCAAAUACCAGGAUGCUGCUGCUGACCCGGGCCCCAAAUACUCAUCCGUUGUCGGUGAAUCAAGCCCCGCGGACAGUGUGGACCCAAGCCCGCGCCCCGAUGUCGAUCAGAGCUCCAGGCGAGCCACAUGUCCCACUGUUGUCGUCCUCCUCCAACAUCACCUGUGCCAAAAGGUGGGGGCUCUCCACAAAUCCUAACGAUCUUGAGUUUCUUUGGGUUGGAAGCACUGUGCUCUGACUUGUGUGCGGUAGGAAACAUUUUUUAGAAGGCACAUCUGUUCUGUCUCCAGCCGCCUCUUCCGCCCAGCAAGUCCGGUCACUCCUUCUAAUCCCCAAUCCUCUCUAAUGCAAGCACUACUCCCCGCAAGCAUUAAACAACAAUCUCUGAUUCCUCUUCGUUUUUUUUUCUUUAUAUUCAUAGUUGGAAGGAAUAAACAAACGAAACAACUUUGAUUGGAAGCGAUGGGUCGUACUGAUCUCUCUUCUUUUCAUUUUGUAUAAGGCGCUGAUUGGAAGGAAUAAGCAGGUGAACUGGAGUACCAUCAGUACGUGCAACUACAGUCCCGCAUCUCUCUCUCUCUCUCUCAUACAUGCACACACGUGUAGGUUAGUAUGAAUUUUAUUGGGUUUUUUUUUGCUUUGAUUGUUUUGUGAAUCAAGGCAUAUUCCUUUUGGUCAUUUUCAGGUAUGUUGCUGAACGACAGUACUAUUCCACGAUGAAUGUCAUCAGAACGAUCCAAUACCCGAAUAGAUGGUUUAUUAGGCAUGUGUGUUUCAGUAGUACUGUUCUAUCUGAACAUCAUCUAGCCUGGCAAGGUAGCACAGUGCUAGAUUAGCCAUGUGUUUCAGAUUUAUCAUUCAAAAUCAAAGAUUCUGUAAACAUUGUUGUGGAUAUUAGUUGCAGGUUAAUGGACUAGCGGCUUCAAGUGUAAGUUUAAAAGGGAUUUUUUCCAGAUAUUAUACAAAUAAAAUAAAAUAAAUUCAUAUUUGCAUUUGUUUUACAUAAUGAUAUGUUAUACAUUUCCUUCCAUACACUGAAGCUUUCAUAAUCAAUUGCAGGGCUGUAGCUUCUGUGCUAAAUGAUCAACACAAUAAUUUCUCUAUGCUGGGGCCAGAUGUUGAGGAGAUCAAGCUACUGUUUGUAAAUGAGGGUUCAUCGAGUAGCAAACACGACGACGCAUAUGAUGGCGAAGGAAGGGGUCUCGAAUGGUCUUCAUGAAGUAUGGCUGCAUGUGCCACCUGAUAGUAUCCUGCAUGUAUUUUGAAAUCCCUGAACUUCAUGAAUAAAUAGAGUGAGGGCGUUAAUCUAAUUGUUUAUCUUUCAUGAAUAAACAUCUGGUGUUAAUGACAAUUCUUGGUGAGAGGAUCAAGUAUGGCCAUUUCUGAUUCUCCUAAACUUUAAUUGUUCUAAUGCUGGAUAGCAGUCUUUUAAAUAAGAUGUUGAACAUGGAGUAUAUUUGUUGCCCUACUUAGUAACCAUGACAUUUGGUGUACCUUUGGUUACUUUUCCACCCAAAAUUUUUAUCAUAGUGGACAAUCGAAGCUAAUUUCUAUUUUGGCAUAUUAACACGCAAGGCUCGCAAAUUAGCAUGAAUUUCUUUUUGCUCUGAUGCACUUCUAAUAGAUAACCAAAUUAUAUUAACUUGAAUUAUUAUCAGGAAAAUCUCAGCAAGUAUGGAGAUACUCUACAAUAUACUAAUUCUCCUAGCUUUUCAUAUUGUUUCAUUGAAGGUUAAAAAUUACAUUUUUAGUAUUUUAUUAUUUCUUACAUCAUAAUUACUUAUCAUGUAGUGCUAAAAAUUCCCCCAGCAACACGCGGGGUAUCAUCUAGUUUAACAUAUGGAAUACACCAUGUACCAUGACAGCCAAGCAGUUUCUAUGGUGUAUUUCACACAACAGCCUUCCUGCUAGUUUCGGGAUUCAACACGGAAGUAUGGAUGUAGAUCGACGAUGCACUAUGCCCAAUGUGUGCACAGCUAAAUGAGGAUGGAGCUCAAUUGUUUGCAAGGUUUGAUAUGGUCUUCAUAUGCGAUAUGAACGCCAACUGCUUGCUAGGUGCCUCAAACCUAGAGAUUUCUUGCUACUUGCUUUUGAGCUCUAGGAUAGUUCUGAAGGUCAUGCUGAUGAGUGUUGAAUUUUUUUAUUAGAAAUAUGCCAUGAAGACAAUAAUAAAUAUAUUAUUCUAGUUUAAUGUUCACAAUCAAGUUUAUAUUCCUGUUCUAUAAUUGCAUUGAUUCUUGAAUAUGAAUUCGAAGCAUGGCUCAAUUGCAUGUACGAAAACAUAAACACCAAUAUGAUCCCUAGUCAUGACCCUAAGACUAGCUCACGCAUUAAUGAUGAUCAUGUUUUCCUGAUCAUGUGCAUUUGAUGUAGGGAACGCCCUAGGUGGGCCAAUCUUUUCACACUUGAAGAUGGAUCAAGAGGAAUAAGAAGAAAACAAGGAAAAGAAACGCUCAAACAAAAUCUGAUCACACAUGCACUCCUUCCACAAAAAUUCACGCUAGGUAACAAGAUCCACAAUCAACUAAGAGACAGACUAGCUAGGGUGGUUCUUCCCAAAUCCACAUGUGGAGAUGACGGCUUGAUGAUCUGAUGCAUCCUUCUCCCUUAGGAGCUCUUGAAGACCUAUGAUGAGAUCCUUCUCCUAGAUUGAGGUCUUGAGAUCUAGAGAGAUUCCAAGAUGGAGGUCUUGUUCCUCUAGGAGGAGGUACAAGGAGCAAAACUCUCUCGAUAUCCUUCAGUAUACUUAGCUAAAUCCUACAGAGGAGGAAGGGGACGACUAUUUAUAGUGAUAGGGGUGAGAGAGGGGGAUACAUGGUCACUUGGGAUGAACUGCUCGUGGACAGGACCUAGAUGUAUGGAUGGCCACUUGGACCGAACUUCUCUCCUUAACCCUACACCUCUCACGUCCUACCUUGGUAUUGCUCCCUUGCUUCUCCAUGGUCAUUUCCAUGGUAACUAAGUAUGCACAAGGUCUCCGCUUGAGGUAGUAGCCAUGUCUCUAUAUGAAGUUAAGGGUAGUUCAAAGAGGAGCGAGUUAACCUCCUUUUCGAUGGCGCAUGCAUGUGCUCUAGUCAUCGGUCCACUUAACACUUCAGGUGUUGGUGUAGAAUCCAUGGGGAUGUUCGUGGGGCGCUUGACACCAUCUCCCCCCCUCCGGGCGGGGGGGGGGGGGGGGGGAUCCGCUCUCGGAUCGUGAACUUCAUCACCAUGGUAAGGUGCCAAGUCGAUGACACUGAAAUUGUCGCUCAACGAGUACUUGUCACGAGGGAUGUCGAUCUUGUAGGCGUUGUUAUUGACCCUUCAUAGAACCUUGAAGGGGCCAUCGGCUUGGGUAGAAGCUUGGACUUGCAUUCUUUCGGAAAGCAAUCCUUUCGAAGGUGUACCCACACAAGAUCUCUGGGGUUGAACACCAUGUGUCUCUUUUUGGCGUUGAUCUUGCAUGCCUUUGCACUUGCGCUCGAUAGUGAGUAUUGUGUCUUCGUGCAUCUUCUUCAUGUAGUUUGCUCGAGACUUGAAAAUCCAUUGUUGGUGCACUCCUGUAUAGGAAGCGGAAGGAUAUCCAAGCCAUAGACCACUUCUAAGGGAGACUUCAUCAUUGUCAAAUGUCUUCCACGAUUGUAUGCGAACUUGGUAAUGGAUAAGCACUCUUCCCACUUCCUGGCGUUUUUAAUGAGUACGUGAAGUAGGAUAGAUAGUGUGUGAUUGACCACCUUCGUUUGGCCAUCAGUUUGAGGAUGAUACAUCAAUGAGAACAAGAGCUUGAUUCCUAGCUUUGCGCAAAGAGUCUUCCAAAAUUAGCUCUAGUAUUUAACAUCGCGGUAUUAGAUGGUUAUCUUGGGCACUCCAUGUAGAGACAAGAUUUCCCUACAAAAUAAAGUUGCAACAUGUCAAGCAUCAUCGGUCUUGUGGCAUGGAAUAAAGUGUGUCAUCUUAGAGAAUCUAUCAACAACUAUGAAUAUCGAGUCUUUUUUAUUUUUAUUCCUAGGCAAACCAAAUAUGAAAUACAUGCUUAUGUCGUCCCAAGUUGCACAUGAAAUAGGCGAUGUCAUGUAAAGACCAUGGGAUUGAGCUUUGAGCUUAGCUUUGCGGCAUGUAUUGCAUCGGUUGACGGAGCGUCCAACAUCGCGAAACACCCUUGGCCAAAAGUGCUUGUGGGCAACGUCACAUAAGUCUUGUCACGCGCAAAGUGUCUCAUGAGUCCCCCACCAUGUGAUUAUCUAUACCAAUAUAAAAAGAUCCAAAAGGGCAGAUCCAAACCAUCUCGACCAUCAAAUCAUGUUAUCUAGCGGUUCAAAUUGCUCCGAUGUUGAGCACCAAACACGUUUAACGCUCUAAUUACCCACCACUGCUAUUGGUUAUAAACACGUUUUGACUCAACGUUAUCCCAUGAAAUCUGCCAUGUAAUUAAUAUUCUACCAUUCUCACGAUAAAGUAAUUGAUAUCUUACCAAAUACCAACAUGCAACAGAUAUAUCUUACCUAAUAUAACGUGCAACUAAUAUCCUACCUAAUAUAAACGUGCAUUGCACGUACAUUAUUACUAGUUGCAAAAGUAGUAAACGUAAAGAACUCUCGGGAACAUAAUUAAAGCUUGUUAGCACGCAUUAGAUAACCGUCUUUCAUGUAAUAUAUGGUUCCCAACAAGUUCCAUUUUGACAAUUAACAAAAGAAGGCGCAAAGAAAGUGUCAUGCUCAUACAAAUCUUUAAUAUGAUCAAAGCCAACAACAUAGUGUUCAAGUUGGGUGAUUAACCUGCAUUUGCGAGAAAGAGCAUUCGCUACGACAUUUUCUUUACCCUUCUUAUAUAAGAUGACAUAAGGAAAAGGCUUGAUAUAUUCACUCCAUUUAGAAUGACGACUAUUCAACUUACAUUGACCCUUGAAUAACUUCUGCAUCUUGAUUGUAACCAUGUAGUUAUGGAAUAAAAUUCCCAUUUUCUCCACACAAAAAGAGGAUCCUUUUUUUGCGAAUCGACGAUUGAAUUGAACCAUACGUAUUUCAAGUACGGUAGAUGGGCAAUAAUUGGAUAGUAAUAAUUUUGGGAAAGUAAUAAUUACGAGACAAUAAUAAUUGGAUAGUAAUAAUUACAAACUUAAUGAUAAUGAUAACAUUGAACAUGCUAGACAUGUUUAGUGCUAAAAGUCGAGGAAAUAUAGGCCGUUAAAUCAACAAGAUGCGUUGGAUGUUUGCACUUACUCCUUUUUUUAACAUUACUAGGACAAUGCCCGUGCGUUGCAACGGGAUAUAAAUAUUCUAGUAUGUUAGUUUGUUAUUGCUUGUCCUUAUGAAUAUAAAUGUUUAUCAGUUUAUACCCAUGAUUUAGUUACCCGUGCAUUGUAACGGGGCAUAUGCUGAAUGUGUUUAACCUAUAUCUUUAGGGCAACAUUCUUGACUUUCUAAUAUUAUUAUUGGUGAAUACCCGUUCGUGCUAUGGGAUACAAAAUAUAUUGAGAGAAGUUACACUGGAUAAUAAUAUAGCUUUGUGGUGAUUAUAUUAAAAUUCCACCUCUAUUAUAAUGAACGUGCACCCUAACAAGACUCUUUCAGCCCAAUAAUAAAACUGAAUGCAUCAAUUAAAUAUUUUUAUUUUCCUUUUGGGGAUGGGCAUCAAGCAAAUGUCCAUCACAUCUUGUGACAAAUAUAGGACUGGCUCCAAGCUCAAAAUAAAAUAAAAUAGGACUGGUUCGAUUCCUCCUCUUACCACUCUACACUCUCCAUUUCUUUUUCAUUGAGAUCUCCAAACACAAACUCAACUCAUCUCUUUUUCAUUGGCAUAUCCUUAUACGCCCUCUUCAAGUUAUUUCCUUUCCAAUGAGGUCCGCGGCUACCAGCAGCAGAGCUGACGAAUUGAUAAUGAAGAAGAAAGACCAUAGUUAAAUAACCCGCCGACCAUCAUGUCUUGUUGGUCCAAAUCUGUAGAUGUCUAUGAGAAAACUGAAAACCCAGUUAAAUAACCAAGCCAUUUGAGCUUAUGCUUUGCUAUUCCCUACAAUUAUUUCCAUUAUCAAAUAAAAUGUGUAAAUUAUGGUGGACAGUAUUAACUACAGACACUAUACAACCCGUUCAUAUACUGAAAUUCUUUAAAAAAAAUCUCAACCCUACUCUAUUACUUCAGAAAUAAAUGAUACAAAUGUAGAAGCUAUAGGAAAGUGAAUCAACCCGGGAACCAAAAAUGACUGGAACAAAAGCAUGGGAAGAGAAAUGAACUGAGCGUGAUUUGUUUUGCCCUACCGCAGAAAGACAAGAUGAGGUAGACGACGGCGUGGACUCCGCUGGCAGCGACAACGUUGGCCUCGUUCUCUGCAAGCGCUUGCCGGAUCUGUUCAUCUCCUUGCCUCACCCACACGAAGGGGGGAAGCUGGUCAUGUGGACUCCAGCCGCUGGACUCGAGGAGGCUAGAGGAAAGGGAGGACGUAAGGCAAUGAAGGCCCUUAUUGCUACUGCCCCUCACAUCUAAGCAAUAUGCUACAGAAGACACGUGGUUAUGCCAUUGAUCCACACCACAUUCAAAUACCUUCAUGAAGUUUUGGCCGUCGCGCGCCGCCGUAAUGAGGAAGAGGCGGGGAGCGAAGGCGACAGAUUCGACGCUUGUGGCAGCUGAUCUUGCUCUUGUCGGAGAACACGGACACUCCUUGGGGGUAUCAACGUGGCGGUAGCGGCGAAAUAGUCUGCCGGGACAUGCUUCUUAAUGCCCACCGUCACGCCGUCCUCCCCGUAGACUCCCCUCAGGCCCUCGUUGGUGGUGCACGGCGUGACGUAUAUCUUGUGGAGCGCAGGCACGCACUUCCUGCCGGCGCCCCUAUCCCUGUCACGGGUGAACUCCUGCAUGAGCCACGGCGUCUUGCGCUUCUAGGAUGGGGACCGGACGCAGUAGAACCCGACGUCUAUUCUUAAGCCCUCGCUCUUCAGGAAGCUCCUCCUUGGUAUGCUCCAGCCGCCAGUACCCGCCGGUCUGCACGCUGCGGUCGGCGCGCUUGUUCUUGGUCGCCGCACACGGGCUCUGGAACUUGGACUCGCCAAGGAACCACCGGGUGUGCUAGCCCGCACUGGUGCUGGCGGCGGGUGAAGCUGCAGCAACGCGUAGGGACCGUUGGCGUAUAUGUCGGCGUGGAAGAUGAACCCCCGCGCGUCCGGCAUCUUGUCGUCGCCGGCGAUCCACCGGUUGAGGAACCCCAUGCUAUCCACGUUUGUCGGGUUGAAGUAGACGUCGGGAGGCAGCGGCGACGGCUGCUUGAGUUCGUUAAACCGGCCGGGACUGGGCGGAGGCGCCAUGGACAUGGAGCUGCUGGCUCCGGCUCUGGCCUCGGCGGUGGCGGAAGUUGAUCUCUUGAUUGCUUUCCUCGCUUUCAUGACGGCCAUGGUUUCCAAGCUAGCAAUCUGCAUGAGUUUCUCCGUGCAAUCUGCAUGACCAAACAUAACAAUAACGAUUAAUCAUGCAUACAUAGAAAUCAAAUUGAGUACAAACACAAGAGUUUGGAUGAAUUUGUAUCAUGAUAUGGCACUCUAUUCUUUUGAUGACAGGUACAAAGGCAUCUAAGAAACACCAUGCAGCCUCCCAAGCAAUUGCCAAGAAAUCAUCUGAUUAUAUCAGUUACUAAUUAAUCAAUUACCCAUGGUCUUGUUCGGCCGGUGCCGCAUCUCCAACCAGUUUCGUUGCUUCUUCGCGGGCGCCUCAUGUAGUCCCAGCCACAACUCGCCGAUCUUGCGCACCGUGAUGGAGCAAUUGUCGAUGGAGCAACGAGAAGGACAGGUCGCCGCUUUUGGGAGGUGAGGUCGACGUGGAUAACGGCCGCGACACUGGCGAGGCUGGUGUGGGCGCAGCCGCCAGAUCGAAGAGACCAACACGAUGUGGGCUAGGGGCGGCAGGCCUCGGCGGACCAGCAGCCGCGGCGGCAAGUGCGGCCGUGUGAUCGGGCCGAGGAGGGCGGGCAGCGGCGGAGGGGGUCGAGCGGCAGAAAGGAUGAGCGGCGGCUGAGGAGCGAUGGGGAGAGGUGGGUUGGAGCUGACGCUAACCUACCCAGAUCGAUGUGGGCUUUUGCGAGGCUUGGCCCAUAUGCGUCUAGACGGGGCGAGCGAACAAGGGACGACGACGGCGAGCGACGUAAGAGGAGAAACGGAACGCUCCGUUUCUUUUAGAUAGUAGAGAAAAAUAAUUGACAUUUAAGGGAGAAUGAGCAUUUUUUUGUUUGAUGCCAAAAGCCGGAUGCUAAAAUUUGACAAAGGCCAAAUAUUGGCUAGUGAGUCGUUACCAAUUUUUUUGGCAACAUUUGAUUUUUUUUGUUUCAAAUUUUGCUAAUAUGAGAUGUUAGCAUCAAACCAAUCAGCCUAACUAAUUGUAUAGUUAUAAUUUUGGGACUGUAGUCACUGGAAAGUAAUAACUACAUUGCAAUCAAAAUAGAAUAUUAAUAGUUACAACAAUUUUGUUUUGAAAAGAAAGCCAACUGGCACUUCUAUUUUAUGUCGUGGCAGAGUUACAUCAUGAAAAUACACGAUGUAAUAAGAAUUCAGGAGUAACAUCCACCCAAACAUAGCUAGUUUUAGAAUCAUAACAAGUCCUAGCCAAGAAAUGUGCCAGCCCAUUCGCUUCCCUGGAACAAAAACUGGACGAUAUUGAUGUAACACCAUGAGCCAAGUGAAAGCAGUCCACAAGUAAUGCUGAGCAUGCUGGACAUGUUUCACACCCAACGAUUGAGGAAAUAUAGACAAUUGGAUAGAUGGCGGUUGGAUGGGUGAGAUUUGUUGGAUCUAAGCAACUCACUCUAUUACAUUAAUAGACUAGUAUAACGCCCGUGCGUUGCCACGGGCUCUUCAAAAUUUAUAAUCAGUAUCUUUCAUUUAUCAUCCCCUCAUAUUAGGUGAUUAUGGGGUGCUCUAAUUAGAAACACAACAAUCAAAUAUUAGGAAAUUUCACCGAACGAACAACAACGAAUAAUACGAUAUCUAUCAAACGAAUAAAAUGAGGUCAUAUUUUUGGUCCGUCAUGCAUUUUUAUUGAAAAGUGCCUAUCCCUUUUAGAAUCAACCCACUGUUUGCUCGCACGCAAAAAAAAUACAUCUCUAAAGUGGGGAACCGAUCGGUGCCAAAAAGAACUCAAACUCCUAUCCAAUCUCGACUUCGUGCUCUUCCACUUCCAUUGAUAAAGAUGGGACGUCAAGGGUUUCAUCAUGAUGACCUUGAGCAGCCGCCGACAUCCCUCCCCACAUCUACCCCUACCCCCUGCUGCCGCUUGCACUGUCCUUGCUCCUCGAGGGAGCUAGGGACACAAUGUUCUCUAGGAUGGGCAUGACCAGAUCCACGAGGAGGCCACAUUCUUCCAUGGGAACCCAACCAAGCACACCACCCUCCGCAACCAUCCAAUCCCAGCCUAACAAAGUCAAGACCCGCCAUCGAUCCACAAAUCAGGCUCGCCGCAUUCAGGUUCACUGCAAGUCUGCGACGAGUCUGUAGUCGACAUCUUGACUUUGGCUAUCCCCACGGAAGAAUCAUCGGAUCCUGCUUACUUUUACCAUCACUUCGUCUCUUCCCAAGGCAGCGACACCACCCAGCCAAUCACCACCACCGCUUGCGGCUUGCCUACAUAAAAUCAUGAGAAAUCCCCACGGCGGUGCUGUAAGAUCACCUUGGCGACCUCAACAGUGACCGACUGGUCUAAGAUCUAAGCUAGACGCUCUUUGUAGAAACCAAUAGAAGUAGGCACGUGACUCGGAUUUGUUCUUUGGUGUGCAUGCGUUUCUUGCUGCCCACCAGCUCUUGUCUAUAACUCGCCUAUCUUUGUACCAGCUCUUGGUCUACAACUCGCCUAUCUCCAUGCUCGAGACGACCAAGCUCGAUGCGCAAGCCGCAUACGUCUGCUAGAGCUAUAUCCAGGCCCUAUGAUUUUUGGAUCACUGGCACUAUGGGUGCCAGGACCGGAGUCGCCCUCAUCCACCAAGUGGAUCAAGGAGGCCCACCACCUAGACUCUACAUCGCAACAUUUUGUGUUUUCCUAUAAAAAGUAAAGAACCUUCUCUAAUAAACGUAAAUAUAACCUUUUGGUUUUAUAGUCUCAACUUUCCUACACUCCAAUACCAGAAUGAUUUCUUGGUUUUAUUUAAUGACCUUCUUGAAUGUCAUUCAUUUAGAAAGGUAGUAAUACAAUCUGUGAUAUUAAGGCAAAUUAUUAGUCAUAUUAAAGUGCAAAAGGCCCUAUAGGAGUCAAAGCAUGACUUUUAUGGUUAUACUGUAAUUUGCAAGAUCUGAGAUUUAUGCAAGUGUACAAUUAGAGAAGAGCCAAUUAAAUAGAUUUUCACAUUCAGAAUAGUACGAUUAGUAGUAGCACUUCAAUUUUUUCAUGUUUGAUCAGCUUGCUAGGUGGUUAUCACUAAGCAUGUUGGAACGAUGAGCAUAACCUAACUUAGUUCAGUACGUGUUGCUGCAAAUUAGUUCAGUACGUACGAAGCUGUUGCUAAUUUCAAUGCCUGGCUGUUGCAAGUUUCUAAUAAAAAAGUACUUCAGGUCAAAGGUCCGGGAAUAUACACUUUUGUUAUCAUGGUUGUUUCCUUAUAGUGAACAACUUUGAUCACCACUUCAGCAGCUACUAUCUAUAAGAAGACAUUAGCUAAGUAGAUACAGGCAAAGAAAGCAUGUAGGCAAAACCAGAAUUAAAAACAUCCUUCUCAAUGGAGCUCGUGCAGUUCGGAAGACCCUAAUCAUCGAUGAGGGACCCCUCCGAUGGUAGCAUGGCGUGACAAUUGCCGUCAAUGACGACACCCAAAGUACCUUGCACAAUCCAUUGAUCCAGUUCGGAACAAUCAAGCAUAUACCUUGCAAAGUGAUGUGGAUCUGAAGCAGAGGUGGGAAGGUAAAGGCUCAGGUGAGGUGGAAUGAGACGUUGAUAUAGACGUGCACGCAUGAGAAUAAGGCGGUGCCCAGGAUGGAUCUCCAUCGGAGGAGGCCGGAUCCGCUGGGGAGGAGGUCGCUGUAGUACCUGCCAUCUGUGCGAUGGAUCACGGGGCUGGCAGGCAGGGGGAGGGGAUAGGAGGGAGCGGGUGGGCUAGAGCGCAGAUGGCGGGUGCCCCCGACGAUGGCUGGGAAGGAUGGUGGAGGAGGUGGAUGAGGAUGGCGGCGGCGGCAUCUGCGGUUGCGCCUCGUCCGCAGCCGUGCUGGUGGUGGUCGAUGCGAGAGCCGGAUGGCGUCGGCCAGAAUCAGGCAGGGGCGACAAAGAUUUAGAGGAGAGAGAGAAUGGAGGCGAUGAGCGAUGGGAGGAAGGGCCACCGGCGAUUGGGGUGGCCUCAGAUCCGCCCUCCGUGGCCGCCUAUUUCAUGGGACGAACGCCCGUGCUCACCGUCGGGCUCGCCUUCGGCCGCUGCCUCGCCGACAUUCACGACGUAGAGCCCCUUCCUCCGAUCCCAUUUGCCAGGGAGGCAGCGCCAUCCUUCAUCGCAGAGAACGAGUCCACACUGAGAUCCCAACCAGAUCGUGAUUGCGCCUCCCCAAACCGCAGCGGCACAUCCCACUCCAUCAACGACCAACCUAUAUGAGGCGGAGGGUCAGUGUAGGACGCGAGCGCCGUCACCAUGGACGUGGGGGACGCCGUAGGUGGGAAGGAGGCGGCGACGGCGUCUGCGUCAGGAAGAUCGCACGACGGCGGCGGCGUUUACUCGAGGGGAUCGAGAGGAGCUGCGUUUGGUGCCGGGUGGGUUCUUUGGUGCGUGCGUGGGGCUGGAGAUUGUGAUAGGUGAUCAGGUGAGGGCGUGCCAUACCUGGAUCGAUAGCCUUACCAUACCUGGUGGUAAUUUAAAUUUAUUACCAUAUUCGAUAUUUCCCGAGUUAUGGCCUUACCAUAUCUGGAUUGAUAGCCUUUGGGGUAAUUUAAAUUUAUUACCAUAUAAUUAUCAUAUUCCAAAUUUCCUGAGUUAUGACCUUACCAUACCUGGAUUGAUUUAUUACUAUACAUGAAUUAAUUAUGAUUUAUUACUAUACGUGGAUAGCCUUACCAUACCUGGUGGUAAUUUAAAUUUAUUACCAUAUUCGAUAUUUCCCGAGUUAUGGCCUUACCAUACCUGGAUUGAUAGCCUUUGGGGUAAUUUAAAUUUAUUACCAUAUAAUUACCAUAUUCAAAAUUUCCUGAGUUAUGACCUUACCAUACCUGGAUUGAUUUAUUACUAUAUGUGGAUUAAUUAUGAUUGAUUACCAUAAAUACGUUGGGUAUUGCCGGUCAGACGAGAAAAGAGAAAAACCGGUGGGAGGGGCUGGUGGGAGGUGGGACGAAGAAAAACCGGUUGAAAUAAACCGAUUGAAAAUAAACCGGUUGAAAAUGGAGGGGACUAUUCAACCAAUUCGUCCAUUAGGAGUAGAGAUAUAGAUUGAGAUAUAAAGAUAGUGAGUAGAGAUGGAUAUAGAGAUAGGGAUGCGAGGACCGGGGAAGAAUUCAGCCAAUAUACAACCAAGGCAUGAGAGGGUAAACACAACACAACAACAUGGUCAUCACACCUAAAGCUAGCGAUCAAGCGGAAACAUACCAGUACAUCAUUGCCAUGAGCGAUACAGAUGAACAUGGAACUGUCAAUUUAUUAGCAGAUACUAUUACUCUACCCAUAGCCUAGUACUUACUUAUAACACAUGGUACAGUGGCAAUAGCGCUUGAUCCCCUUGGCGGUGCAGUAGGCCGCCUUGACCCUCAUGUCCGGGUUCUGGCUGGCGCACUCCUGCGCGCAGAGCCAGUCCAUGCAUAUCAGGGAGAAGAAUUGCUCUUGCUCGCAUCUCUCUACGCGGAAAGAAACUCAUGGAUGGAUGGAUGGACACAAUUAGCAGGAGAUCUUUUUCCAUGGAAAAGAGAUGGAAAAGAGAAGGGCAAGGCAAUCGAGUACCGGCUGCAAGAGCAGGGCUUGCUGCUACAAGGGUGAGCACGACGAGGAAGUAGAGAGCGUUUCUCCCCUCCAUAGGUGCGUGUGUUUAUUUUGAGAGGACGGAGUCGAAUUGAAUCUGGAACACAAGAUUGAUAUUGCACUCUGCGAGACACACACAGUAUAGGUAGAAGAGAGCGUAUCCUCUAUAUCUAUAACAUUAUACUCCCUAGUUUUCAAGAGCCCACAUUGAAUUAAGGUCACCAAUGAAGAUUGAGUCACCUAAUUUUGACCGGGUCAACAGUUUCUCAAAGCUAUCUCAUUCAAUUCUUUUAUACUAUACAUCAUGUUUCCUAAUUUUUAAAGUCUCAGAACUAAUUGAGGUCUUCAAUGGUCUAGCUCGAUUUUGACCGGGCCGACAAUUUCUCAAGGACCCUCCCAUUCAAUUAUUUUAAUUCUCUAUGUUACCAUUUUGAAGCUCUUUCAUUUAAUUGAUGUAUUUAAUUUUGGAUUUGGUUUAUGAUUUUGACCGGGUCAACGAGUUUUCAAAUCAAUCAGCAGCAAACGGUCUAUAAAAACAUAUCAAUCCCACACACCCUCCCACCACCUAGGGAAAAUAAGUGUCACCAUGUGAUACUAAAGCACCAAUAUAAUACAUGCAGUCACCAACGCAGAAAUAUCUCCAUAUAAAUAUAAGUUGGUUAGUGAAUAACACUGAACCACACCACAAAAGGCCCAUCAAAUCACCGCAUUAUACAUAGAAACAAAACACACUCCAUCAUCUCCCCACCCAUCAAACUAAAUACUCCAUCCAUUACAAAAUAUUACGGGUAUUAUAUUUUUGGAAAGUCAAAUUUCUUUAGCUUGGACCAAGUUCAGAGCAAAAAAUAUCGACAUCCACAAUGUUAAAAAAAGAGUAUGAAAAUCCAUUUCAUGAUGAAUCUAUUAAUACUGAUUUGAUAUUAUGAAUUUUGAUAUAUUUCUCCAUAAAUUUGAUUAAACUUAAAAGGUUUGAUUUAAAAAAAUACACCUUAUAUUUUGAAACAGAGUGAUUAAUCACUUUAAGAAACACAACAACAACAACAACAACAACAACAACAACAACAACAACAACAAUGAUGCAGCAAAGCACACCUAACCCUUCUAGUAUGGGGGAAAGAGAAAUGAUUAAUCAUAGCGCUUAAAAAUCCAGCUAGACUUGAGAGAGGAUCAAUCAUAGCUAUUGAAAAUCCAGUUGGACUAGUCUUUUUUAUUGCAUGGAAUUAGUUUUUUUUAGCGGAACACCUGAACUUUAUUACUGCAUCACCCGAACUUUAUUCCUUUUCUAUUACAUGGAAUUAGUUUCCUUUCUAGAUGAAGGCUUGCAUGGAAUUAACUAUUCCUGAGGGUGUGGGCUUGGGCUCAUUCUAAAGAAGAAGGAAAGUUUUUCUCCUCAGUCCAGUCGCUGGGCAGGCUCAUUUCUGGCCCCCAUUGCAUGGGCUGAACAACUAGCGCUAUCACAUUUUAUUUUAUUUUCUUUUAAAAACUAACAUUACCCCAUGUCCUCAUGUUCCCGUGGAUGCUUUGCUCAAACACUGCCAAAUCGGCCCUUCCUCCGUCAUACCCUCCUAUACAUUCCAGAUCUCCCGCCAUCGCGCUACCACGGUCGACGUAACGUCAAUCUGGGACAAGGAGGAGGGAGGCACACGCGUUGGAGUAUGUCCGACGGCGUAGCCGGGCUGUUGGUGUAGGGGCAAGGGUUUGCCUAGCUGGGGUGCGACUAGUUCCGCGCGCUGCAAGCCCUACCAUGGCUCGCCUGCAGGGUGCAUGUAUUGAGUCGGCCUAGUAACCGCGUCACAUCAGCAUGCUAAUGUCAUGUUAUUUAUUUUGUUUAUUCUUUCAAUUUUUGUUCACAUUUUUUUCUUAUAUUUCAAAACAUUCUAAAUAUACAUAUUACAAAAAACAAUUUACAUAAACCUUAAAAGCGUUGGUCUUGUAUUCGAAAAAUGUUCAACAUGUAUAUAAAUAUUUUCUGAUGUAUAUGAAAUAUGUACAAUGUCCAUGAAACAAUGUAUGUGACAUUUAAAAAAAGGUUAUACAUUGUAAAAAUAUAUUUGUUUAAUUAAAAAAUAUGAUUCGUUCAUUAAAAGAAUGUGUGUUACAUUUUUAAAAAUAUUCACAAGUUUAAAAAAUGUAUCCAUCACAAUAAAAAAAACUUUGUACAAUGCAAAAAAAAAGUUUGCAUAGCUCACAAAAGAUGCUUUUCUCAUAAAAAACAUUCCAUUNNNNNNNNNNNNNNNNNNNNNNNNNNNNNNNNNNNNNNNNNNNNNNNNNNNNNNNNNNNNNNNNNNNNNNNNNNNNNNNNNNNNNNNNNNNNNNNNNNNNNNNNNNNNNNNNNNNNNNNNNNNNNNNNNNNNNNNNNNNNNNNNNNNNNNNNNNNNNNNNNNNNNNNNNNNNNNNNNNNNNNNNNNNNNNNNNNNNNNNNNNNNNNNNNNNNNNNNNNNNNNNNNNNNNNNNNNNNNNNNNNNNNNNNNNNNNNNNNNNNNNNNNNNNNNNNNNNNNNNNNNNNNNNNNNNNNNNNNNNNNNNNNNNNNNNNNNNNNNNNNNNNNNNNNNNNNNNNNNNNNNNNNNNNNNNNNNNNNNNNNNNNNNNNNNNNNNNNNNNNNNNNNNNNCCAUAGAAACUCGGUGAAAACGAAGAAAGAAACAAAAACCCAAGAAAGCAACAAAGAAAAUGAGGGAAAAAGAAACAAAAAAUAGAAAGGAAAAAGGAAGAAAACUAAAGAAAAGACCAAAAAGGAAGAAAAAGAAAACCGAAAAAGGUAGGAUAAUAAUGGUCAAUUUGUCGUCGGUCAUUAGGCCAAGUUGCCAGGUGUUAGUAAAUUGAAAAUGUCAUGAUGUGUCUAAAUAGGUGCGGUUAUCAGAUAUAUCAUAGGAUGACAUGGCAAAAACAACAACAUAUGGGUUGUGCAAAUGAGGGCUAAAAAGUGUCAUGGUGUAUACAAAAACACCAACAACAAAAUUACAAUGAAAUAACUAGGUAGGUAAAAAGUAGCAUCAACAUGGGGAGUGAAAAGAAUCAAUGCCUCCUCUCGCGUAAGCGUACGCGUAAUGUCGGUCCGGGCCGCUUCAUCCAACAAUACCGCCGAACCAAAGUAUGACAUGCUGGUAAGCAGUAUGACUUAUAUCGCCCACAACUUACUUGUGUUCUACUCGUGCAUAUAACAUCACCACAUAAAACCUAGGCUCGGAUGCCACUGUUGGGGAACGUAGUAAUUUCAAAAAAAAUUCUACGCACAUGCAAGAUCAUGGUGAUGCAUAGCAACGAGGGGAGAGUGUGAUCUACGUACCCUUGUAGACCGACAGCGGAAGCGUUAUGACAACGCGGUUGAUGUAGUCGUACGUCUUCACGGCCCGACAAAUCAAGCACCGAAACUACGACACCUCCGAGUUCUAGCACACAUUCAGCUCGAUGACGAUCUCCGGACUCCGAUCCAGCAAAGUGUCGGGGAAGAGUUUCGUCAGCACGACGGCGUGGUGACGAUCUUGAUGUACUACCGUCGUAGGGCUUCGCCUAAGCACCGCUACAAUAUUAUCGAGGAUUAUGGUGGAAGGGGGCACUGCACACGGCUAAGAAUAUGAUCACGUGGAUCAACUUGUGUCUAUGGGGUGCCCCCUGCCCCCGUAUAUAAAGGAGUGGAGGAGGAGAGGGCCGACCCUCUCUAUGGCGCGCCCUAGGGGAGUCCUACUCCCACCGGGAGUAGGAUUCCCCCUUUUCCUAGUCCAACUAGGAGUCCUUCCAUGUAGUAGCAGUAGGAGUCAAGGCAAGGGAAAAGAGAAGAGAAGGAAGGAGGGGGCGCAACCCUUCCCCCUAGUCCAAUUCGGACUAGGCCUUGGGCGGGCGCACAACCUCUCCUAUCUCUUUCCCUAAACCCCAAUAAGGCCCAUAUACUCCCCGGUGAAUUCCCGUAACUCUCCGGUACUCCGAAAAAUACUCGAAUCACUCGGAACACUUCCGAUGUCCAAACAUAGGCUUCCAAUAUAUCAAUCUUUAUGUCUCGACCAUUUCGAGACUCCUCGUCAUGUCCGUGAUCACAUCCGGGACUCCAAACAACCUUCGGUACAUCAAAAUGCAUAAACUCAUAAUAACUGUCAUCGUAACGUUAAGCGUGCGGACCCUACAGUUCGAGAACAAUGUAGACAUGACCGAGACACGUCUCCGGUCAAUAAAUAAUAGCGGGACCUGGAUGCCCAUAUUGGCUCCUACAUAUCCUACGAAGAUCUUUAUCGGUCAGACCGCAUAACAACAUACGUUGUUCCCUUUGUCAUCGGUAUGUUACUUGCCCGAGAUUCGAUCGUCGGUAUCCAAUACCUAGUUCAAUCUCGUUACUGGCAAGUCUCUUUACUCGUUCCGUAAUACAUCAUCCCGCAACUAACUCAUUAGUUGCAAUGCUUGCAAGGCUUAUGUGAUGUGCAUUACCGAGAGGGCCCAGAGAUACCUCUCCGACAUUCGGAGUGACAAAUCCUAAUCUCGAAAUACUCCAACCCAGCAUCUACCAUUGGAGACACCUGUAGAGCUCCUUUAUAAUCACCCAUUUACGUUGUGACGUUUGGUAGCACACAAAGUGUUCCUCCGGCAAACGGGAGUUGCAUAAUCUCAUAGUCAUAGGAACAUGUAUAAGUCAUGAAGAAAGCAAUAGCAACAUACUAAACGAUCGGGUGCUAAGCUAAUGGAAUGGGUCAUGUCAAUCAGAUCAUUCAACUAAUGAUGUGAUCCCGUUAAUCAAAUAACAACUCUUUGUCCAUGGUUAGGAAACAUAACCAUCUUUGAUUAACGAGCUAGUCAAGUAGAGGCAUACUAGUGACACUCUGUUUGUCUAUGUAUUCACACAUGUAUUAUGUUUCCGGUUAAUACAAUUCUAGCAUGAAUAAUAAACAUUUAUCAUGAUAUAAGGAAAUAAAUAAUAACUUUAUUAUUGCCUCUAGGGCAUAUUUCCUUUAGUCUCCCACUUGCACUAGAGUCAAUAAUCUAGUUCACAUCGCCAUGUGAUUUAAGAGCAAUAGUUCACAUCACCAUGUGAUUAACACCCAUAGUUCACAUCGUCAUGUGACCAACACUCAAAGGGUUUACUAGAGUCAGUAAUCUAGUUCACAUUGCUAUGUGAUUAACACCCAAAAGUGAUCGUGUUUUUCUUGUGAGAGAAUUUUAGUCAACGGGUCUGCCACAUUCAGAUCCACAUGUAUUUUGCAAAUUUCUAUGUCAACAAUGCUCUGCAUGGAGCUACUCUAGCUAAUUGCUCCCACUUUCAAUAUGUAUCUAGACCGAGACUUGGAGUCAUCUAGAUUAGUGUUAAAAACUUGCAUCGACGUAACCCUUUACGACGAACCUUUUUGUCACGUCCAUAAUCGAGAAACAUACCCCUAUUUCACUAAGGAUAAUUCUGACCGCUGUCCAGUGAUCUACUCCUAGAUCACUAUUGUACUCCCUUGCCAAAUCAGUGCAGGGUAUAUAAUAGAUCUGGUAUACAGCAUGACAUACUUUAUAGAACCUAUGGCCAAGGCAUAGGGAAUGACUUUCAUUCUCUUUCUAUCUUCUGCCGUGGUCGGGCUUUGAGUCUUACUCAACUUCACACCUUGUAAUACAGGCAAGAACUCUUUCUUUGACUGCUCCAUUUUGAACUACUUCAAAAUCUUGUCAAGGUAUGUACUUAUUGAAAAAACUUAUCAAGCGUCUUGAUCUAUCUCUAUAGAUCUUGAAGCUCAAUAUGUAAGCAGCUUCACCGAAGUCUUUCUUUGAAAAACUCCUUUCAAACACUCCUUUAUGCUUUACAGAAUAAUUCUACAUUAUUUCCGAUCAACAAUAUGUCAUUCACAUACACUCAUCAGAAAUGUUGUAGUGCUCCCACUCACUUUCUUGUAAAUACAGGCUUCAUCGCAAGUCUGUAUAAAACUAUAUGCUUUGAUCAACUCAUCAAAACGUAUAUUCCAACUCCGAGAUGCUUGCACUAGUCCAUAGAUGGAUCGCUGGAGCUUGCACAUUUUGUUAGCACCUUUCGGAUUGACAAAACCUUCUGGUUGCAUCGUAUACAACUCUUCUUUAAUAAAUUAAUUAAGAAAUGCAGUUUUGUUUAUCCAUUUGCCAGAUUUCAUAAAAUGCGGCAAUUACUAACAUGAUUCUGACAGACUCUAGCAUAGAUACGAGUGAGAAACUCUCAUCGUAGUCAACACCUUGAACUUGUCGAAAACCUUUUGCGACAAUUCUAGCUUUGUAGAUAGGAACACUACUAUCAGCGUCCGUCUUCCUCUUGAAGAUCCAUUUAUUCUCAAUUGCUUGCCGAUCAUCGGGCAAGUCAACCAAAGUUGAAACUUUGUUCUCACACAUGGAUCAUAUCUCAGAUUUCAUGGCCUCAAACCAUUUCGGAAUUUGGGCUCAUCAUCGCUUCCUCAUAGUUCGCAAGUUCGUCAUGGUCUAGUAACAUGACUUCCAGAACAGGAUUACCGUACCAUGCUGGUGCGGAUCUCACUCUGGUUUACCUACGAGAUUCGGUAGUAACUUGAUCUGAAGUUACAUGAUCAUCAUCAUUAGCUUCCUCACUAAUUGGUGUAGUAGUCACAAGAACAGAUUUUUGUGAUGAACUACUUUCCAAUAAGGGAGAAGGUACAAUUACCUUAUCAAGUUUUCUACUUUCCUCCCACUCACUUCUUUCGAGAGAAACUCCUUCUCUAGAAAGUAUCCAUUCUCAGCAACGAAUGUCUUGCCUUUGGAUCUGUGAUAGAAGGUGUACCCAACUGUUUCCUUUGGGUAUCCUAUGAAGACGCACUUCUCCGAUUUGGGUUUGAGCUUAUCAGGUUGAAACUUUUUCACAUAAGCAUUGCAACCUCAAACUUUUAAGAAACGACAGCUUAGGUUUCUUGCCAAACCAUAGUUCACACGGUGUCGUCUCAACGGAUUUAGAUGGUGCCCUAUUUAACGUGAAUGCAGCUAUUCUAAUGCAUAACCCCAAAACGAUAGUGGUAGAUCGGUAAGAUACAUCAUAGAUUGCACUAUAUCCAAUAAAGUACGGUUAUGACGUUCGGACACACCAUUAUGCUGUGGUGUUCCAGGUGGCGUGAGUAGUGAAACUAUUUCACAUUGUUUUAACUGAAGACCAAACUCGUAACUCAAAUAUUUUACCUCUGCGAUCAUAUCGUAGAAACUUUUAUUUUCUUGUCACGAUGAUUUUCCACUUCACUCUGAAAUUCUUUGAACUGUUCAAGUGUUUCAGACUUAUGUUUCAUCAAGUAGAUAUCCCCAUAUCUGCUCAAAUCAUCUUGUGAAGGUCAGAAAAUAAUGAUACCUGCUGUAAGCCUUAAUAUUCAUCGGACCACAUACAUCAGUAUGUAUGAUUUCCAACAAAUCUGUUGUUUGCUUCAUUGUUCCGGAGAACGGCGUUUUAGUCAUCUUGCCCAUAAGGCAUGGUUCACAAGCAUCAAGUGAUUCAUAAUCAAGUGAUUCCAAAAUCCCAUCAGCAUGGAGUUUCUUCAUGCGCUUUACACCAAUAUGACCUAAACGACAGUGCCACAAAUAAGUUGCACUGUCAUUAUUAACUUCGCAUCUUUUGGUUUCAAUAUUAUGAAUAUGUGUAUUAUUAAGAUCGAGAUCCAAUGAACUAUUUUCAUUGGGUGUGUAAUCAUAUAAGGUUUUAUUCAUGUAAACAGAACAAUAAUUUAUUCUUUUACUUAAAUGAAUAACCGUAUUAAAAUAAACAUGAUCGAAUCAUAUUCAUGCUCAACGCAAACACCAAAUAACACUUAUUUAGGUUCAACACUAAUCCCGAAAGUAUAGGGAGUGUGCGAUGAUGAUCAUAUCAAUCUUGGAACCACUUCCAACACACAUCGUCACUUCACCCUUAACUAGUCUCUGUUCAUUCUGCAACUCCCAUUUCGAGUUACUGCUCUUAGCAACUGAACUAGCAUCAAAUACUGAGGGGUUGCUAUAAACACUAGUAAAGUACACAUGAAUAACAUGUAUAUCAAAUAUACUUAUGUUCACUUUGCCAUCCUUCUUAUCCGCCAAUCACUUGGGGUAGUUCCGCUUCCAGUGACCAGUCCCUUUGCAGCAGAAGCACUUAGUCCCAGGCUUAGGAUCAGACUUGGGCUUCUUCACUUGAGCAGCAACUUUCUUGCCGUUCUUCUUGAAGUUCCCCUUCUUCCCUUUGCCCUUUUCUUGAAACUAGUGGUCUUGUCAACCAUCAACACUUGAUGUUUUUCUUGAUUCCUACCUUCAUUGAUUUCAUCAUCACGAAGUGCUUGGGAGUUGUAUCCGUUAUCCCUUGCAUAUUAUAGUUCAUCAUGAAGUUCUACUAACUUGGUGAUGGUGAUUAGAGAAUUCUGUCAAUCACUAUCUUAUCUGGAAGAUUAACUCCCACUUGAUUCAAGCGAUUGUAGUACCCAGACAAUCUGAGCACAUGCUCACUAGUUGAGCGAUUCUCCUCCAUCUUUUAGCUAUAGAACUUGUUGGAGACUUCAUAUCUCUCAACUCGGGUAUUUGCUUGAAAUAUUAACUUCAACUCCUGGAACAUCUUAUAUGGUCCAUGACGUUCAAAACGUCUUUGAAGUCCCGAUUCUAAGCCAUUAAGCAUGGUGCACUAAACUAUCAAGUAGUCAUCAUAUUGAGCUAGCCAAACGUUCAUAACAUCUGCAUUUGCUCCUGCAAUAGGUCUGUCACCUAGCGGUGCAUCAAGGACAUAAUUCUUCUGUGCAGCAAUGAGGAUAAACCUCAGAUCACGGAUCCAAUCCGCAUCAUUGCUACUAACAUCUUUCAACACAAUUUUCUCUAGGAACAUAUCAAACAAACACAGGGAAGCAACAACGCGAGCUAUUGAUCUACAACAUAAUUUGCAAAAUACUACCAGGACUAAGUUCAUGAUAAAUUUAAGUUCAAUUAAUCAUAUUACUUAAGAACUCCCACUUAGAUAGAUAUCCCUCUAAUCCUCUAAGUGAUCACGUGAUCCAAAUCAACUAAACCAUAACCGAUCAUCACGUGAGAUGGAGUAGUUUUCAAUGGUGAACAUCGUUAUGUUGAUCAUAUCUACUAUAUGAUUCACGCUCGACCUUUCGGUCUCCGUGUUCCAAGGCCAUAUCUGCAUAUGCUAGGCUCGUCAAGUUUAACCUGAGUAUUCUGCGUGUGCAAAACUGGCUUGCACCCGUUGUAGAUGGACGUAGAGCUUAUCACACCCGAUCAUCACGUGGUGUCUGGGCACGACGAACUUUGGCAACAGUGCAUACUCAGGGAGAACACUUCUUGAUAAUUUUAGUGAGAGAUCAUCUUAUAAUGCUACCGUCAAUCAAAGCAAGAUAAGAUGCAUGAAAAGAUAAACAUCACAUGCAAUCAAUAUAAGUGAUAUGAUAUGGCCAUCAUCAUCUUGUGCUUGUGAUCUCCAUCUCCGAAGCACCGUCAUGAUCGCCAUCGUCACCGGCGCGACACCUUGAUCUCCAUCGUAGCAUCGUUGUCGUCUCGCCAAUCUUAUGCUUCCACGACUAUCGCUACCGCUUAGUGAUAAAGUAAAGCAUUACAUCGCGAUUGCAUUGCAUACAAUAAAGCGACAACCAUAUGGCUCCUGCCAGUUGCCGAUAACUCGGUUACAAAACAUGAUCAUCUCAUACAAUAAAAUCAACAUCAUGCCUUGACCAUAUCACAUCACAACAUGCCCUGCAAAAACAAGUUAGACGUCCUCUACUUUGUUGUUGCAAGUUUUACGUGGCUGCUACGGGCUUAAGCAAGAACCAAUCUCACCUAUGCAUCAAAACCACAACGAUAGUUUGUCAAGUAGACUCCGUUUUAACCUUCUCAAGGACCGGGCGUAGCCACACUCGGUUCAACUAAAGUUGGAGAGACAGUCGCCCGCAAGCCAUCUAUGUGCAAAGCACGUCGAGGGAACCGGUCUCGCGUAAGCGUACGCGUAAUGUUGGUCCAGGUCGUCUCGUCCAACAAUACCGCUGAACCAAAGUAUGACAUGCUGGUAGGCAGUAUGACUUAUAUCGCCCACAACUCACUUGUGUUCUGCUCGUGCAAAUAACAUCAAACCAUAAAACCUAGAUUCUGAUACCACUGUUGGGGAACGUAGUAAUUUCAAAAAAAUUCCUACGCACACGCAAGAUCAUGGUGAUGCAUAGCAACGAGAGGGAAGAGUGCGACUGCGGAAGUGAUCACACAACGUAGAGGAAGUAGUCGUACGUCUUCCCGAUCCGACCGAUCCAAGCACCGUUACCCCGGCACCUCCGAGUUCUUAGCACACGUACAGCUCGAUGACGAUCCUCGGGCUCCGAUCUAGCAAAGCGUCGAGGAAGAGUUCCGUCAGCACGACGGCGUGGUGACGAUCUUGAUGUUCUACCGACGCAGGGCUUCGCCUAAGCACUACAACGAUAUGACCGAGGUGGAAUAUGGUGGCAGGGGGCACCGCACACGGCUAAGGAACGAUCACCAAGGAUCAACUUGUGUGUCUAGAGGUGCCCCCUGCCUCCGUAUAUAAAGGAGCCAAGGGGGAGGGGGGCACCGGCCAGGAGGAGGGCGCAGGAGGAGUCCUACUCCUACCGGGAGUAGGACUCCCCCUCCCAAUCCUAUUCCUAAUAGGUUUCCCAAAGGGGGAAAGAGAGGGAGGGGGGCCGGCCACCUCUCCUAGUCCUAAUAGGACUAGGGGAAGGGGGGCGCGCGGCCACCUAUGGGCUGCCCCUUUUCUCCUUUCCACUAAAGCCCAUUAAGGCCCAUAUGGUUCCCGGGGGGUUCCGGUAACCUCCCGGUACUCCGGUAAAAUCCCGAUUUCACCCGGAACACUUCCGAUGUUCAAACAUAGGCUUCCAAUAUAUCAAUCUUUAUGUCUCGACCAUUUCGAGACUCCUCGUCAUGUCCGUGAUCACAUCCGGGACUCCGAACAACCUUUGGUACAUCAAAAUGCAUAAACUCAUAAUAACUGUCAUCGUAACGUUAAGCGUGCGGACCCUACGGUUCGAGAACAAUGUAGACAUGACCGAGACACGUCUCCAGUCAAUAACCAAUAGCGGGACCUGGAUGCCCAUAUUGGCUCCUACAUAUUCUACGAAGAUCUUUAUCGGUCAGACCGCAUAACAACAUACGUUGUUCCCUUUGUCAUCGGUAUGUUACUUGCCCGAGAUUCGAUCGUCGGUAUCCAAUACCUAGUUCAAUCUCGUUACUGGCAAGUCUCUUUACUCAUUCCGUAAUACAUCAUCCUGCAACUAACUCAUUAGUUGCAAUGCUUGCAAGGCUUAUGUGAUGUGCAUUACCGAGAGGGCCCAGAGAUACCUCUCCGACAUUCGGAGUGACAAAUCCUAAUCUCGAAAUACUCCAACCCAACAUCUACCAUUGGAGACACCUGUAGAGCUCCUUUAUAAUCACCCAUUUACGUUGUGACGUUUGGUAGCACACAAAGUGUUCCUCCGGCAAACGGGAGUUGCAUAAUCUCAUAGUCAUAGGAACAUGUAUAAGUCAUGAAGAAAGCAAUAGCAACAUACUAAACGAUCGGGUGCUAAGCUAAUGGAAUGGGUCAUGUCAAUCAGAUCAUUCAACUAAUGAUGUGAUCUCAUUAAUCAAAUAACAACUCUUUGUCCAUGGUUAGGAAACAUAACCAUCUUUGAUUAACGAGCUAGUCAAGUAGAGGCAUACUAGUGACACUCUGUUUGUCUAUGUAUUCACACAUGUAUUAUGUUUCCGGUUAAUACAAUUCUAGCAUGAAUAAUAAACAUUUAUCAUGAUAUAAGGAAAUAAAUAAUAACUUUAUUAUUGCCUCUAGGGCAUAUUUCCUUCAGUAGAAACCUUAUUUUCUUGUCACGAUGAUUUUCCACUUCACCCUGAAAUUAUUUGAACUUUUCAAAUGUUUCAGACUUAUGUUUCAUCAAGUAGAUAUACUCAUAUCUGCUCAAAUCAUCUGUGAAGGUCAGAAAAUAACGAUACCCACCGCGAGCCUCAACACUCAUUGGACUGCAUACAUCAGUAUGUAUUAUUUCCAAUCAAGUUUGUUGCUCGCUCCAUUGUUCCGGAGAAUGGAGUCUUAGUCAUCUUGCCCAUGAGGCAUGGUUUGCAAGCGUCAACUGAUUCAUAAUCAAGUGAUUCCAAAAUCCCAUCGGCAUGGAGUUUCUUCAUGUGCUUUACACCAAUAUGACCUAAACGGCAGUGCCACAAAUAAGUUGCACUAUCAUUAUUAACUUUGCAUCUUUUUGUUUCAAUAUUAUGAUUAUGUGUAUCACUACGAUCGAGAUCCAACGAACUAUUUUCAUUGGGUGUGUAACCAUAUAAGGUUUUAUUCAUGUAAAUAGAAUAACAAUUUAUUCUCUUACUUAAAUGAAUAACCGUAUUACAAUAAACAUGAUCAAAUCAUAUUCAUGCUCAACGCAAAUACCAAAUAACACUUAUUUAGGUUCAACACUAAUCCCGAAAUUAUAGGGAGUAUGCAAUGAUGAUUAUAUCAAUCUUGGAACCACUUCCAACACACAUCGUCACUUCACCCUUAACUAGUCUCUGUUUAUUCUGCAACUCCCGUUUCGAGUUACUAAUCUUAGCAACUGAACUAGUAUCAAAUACUGAGGGGUUGCUAUAAACACUAGUAAAGUACACAUCAAUAACAUGUAUAUCAAAUAUACUUAUGUUCACUUUGCCAUCCUUCUUAUCCGCCAAUCACUUGGGGUAGUUCCGCUUCCAGUGACCAGUCCCUUUGCAGUAGAAGCACUUAGUCUCGGGCUUAGGACCAGACUUGGGCUUCUUCACUUGAGCAGCAACUUGCUUGUUGUUCUUCUUGAAGUUCCCCUUCUUCCCUCUGCCCUUUUCUUGAAACUAGUGGUCUUGUCUACCAUCAACACUUGAUGUUUUUCUUGAUUUCUACCUUCGUCGAUUUUAGCAUCAUGAAGAGCUUGGGAAUCGUUUCCGUUAUCCCUUGCAUAUUAUAGUUCAUCACGAAGUUCUACUAACUUGGUGAUGGUGACUAGAGAAUUCUGUUAAUCACUAUUUUAUCUGGAAGAUUAACUCCCACUUGAUUCAAGUGAUUGUAGUACCCAGACAAUCUGAGCACAUGCUCACUAGUUGAGCGAUUCUCCUCCAUUUUUUAGCUAUAGAACUUGUUGGAGACUUCAUAUCUCUCAACUCGGUUAUUUGCUUGAAAUAUUAACUUCAACUCCUGGAACAUCUCAUAUGGUCCAUGACGUUCAAAACGUCUUUGAAGUCCCGAUUCUAAGCCGUUAAGCAUGGUGCACUAAACUAUUAAGUAGUCAUCAUAUUGAGCUAGCCAAACGUUCAUAACAUCUGCAUCUGCUCCUGCAAUAGGUUUGUCACCUAGCGGUGCAUCAAGGACAUAAUUCUUCUGUGCAGCAAUGAGGAUAAACCUCAGAUCACGGAUCUAAUCCGCAUCAUUGCUACUAACAUCUUUCAACACAAUUUUCUCUAGGAACAUAUCAAAAUAAACAUAUGAAAGCAACAACGCGAGCUAUUGAUCUACAAUAUAGAUAUGCUAAUACUACCAGGACUAAGUUCAUGAUAAAUUAAAGUUCAAUUAAUCAUAUUACUUAAGAACUCCCACUUAAAUAGACAUCCCUCUAAUCCUCUAAGUGAUCACGUGAUCCAAAUCAACUAAACCAUGUCCGAUCAUCAUGUGAGAUGGAGUAGUUUCAAUGGUGAACAUCACUAUGUUGAUCAUAUCUACUAUAUGAUUCACGCUCGACCUUUCGGUCUCCGUGUUCCGAGGCCAUAUCUGUAUAUGCUUGGCUCGUCAAGUAUAACCUGAGUAUUUCGCGUGUGCAACUGUUUUGCAUCCGUUGUAUUUGAACGUAGAGCCUAUCACACCCGAUCAUCACGUGGUGUCUCAGCACGAAGAACUUUCGCAAUGGUGCAUACUCAGGGAGAACACUUCUUGAUAAUUAGUGAGAGAUUAUCUUAAAAUGCUACCGUCAAACUAAGAAAAAUAAGAUGUAUAAAAAGAUAAACAUCACAUGCAAUCAAUAUAAGUGAUAUGAUAUGGCCAUCAUCAUCUUGUGCUUGUGAUCUCCAUCUUCGAAGCACCGUCGUGAUCACCAUCGUCACCGGCGCGACACCUUGAUCAUCAUCGUAGCAUCGUUGUCGUCUCGCCAAUCUUAUGCUUCCACGACUAUCGCUACCGCUUAGUGAUAAAGUAAAGUAUUACAGCGCAAUUGCAUUGCAUACAAUAAAGCGACAACCAUAUGGCUCCUGCCAGUUGCCGAUAACUUGGUUACAAAACAUGAUCAUCUCAUACAAUAAAAUUUAGCAUCAUGUCUUGACCAUAUCACAUCACAACAUGCCCUGCAAAAACAAGUUAGACGUCCUCUACUUUGUUGUUGCAAGUUUUACGUGGCUGCUACGGGCUUAAGCAAGAAUCAAUGCCUCCUCUCGCGUGAGCGUAUGCGUAAUGUCGGUCCGGGCCGCUUCAUCCAAUAAUACCGCCGAACCAAAGUAUGACAUGCUGGUAAGCAGUAUGACUUAUAUCGCCCACAACUCACUUGUGUUCUACUCGUGCAUAUAACAUCAACACAUAAAACCUAGGCUCGGAUGCCACUGUUGGGGAACGUAGUAAUUUCAAAAAAAUUCCUACGCACACGCAAGAUCAUGGUGAUGCAUAGCAACGAGGGGAGAGUGUGAUCUACGUACCCUUGUAGACCGACAGCGGAAGCGUUAUGACAACGCGGUUGAUGUAGUCGUACGUCUUCACGGCCCGACCGAUCAAGCACCGAAACUACGGCACCUCCGAGUUCUAGCACACGUUCAGCUCGAUGACGAUCCCCGGACUCCGAUCUAGCAAAGUGUCGGGGAAGAGUUUCGUCAGCACGAUGGCGUGGUGACGAUCUUGAUGUACUACCGUCGCAGGGCUUCGCCUAAGCACCACUAUAAUAUUAUCGAUGAUUAGGUGGAAGGGGGCACCGCACACGGCUAAGAAUAUGAUCACGUGGAUCAACUUGUGUCUAUGGGGUGCCCCCUGCCCCCGUAUAUAAAGGAGUGGAGGAGGGGAGGGCCGGCCCUCUCUAUGGUGCGCCCUAGGGGAGUCCUACUCCCACCGGGAGUAGGAUUCCCCCUUUUCAUAGUCCAACUAGGAGUCCUUCCAUGUAGUAGGAGUGGGAGUCAAGGCAAGGGAAAAGAGAAGAGAAGGAAGGAGGGGGCGCAGCCCUUCCCCCUAGUCCAAUUCGGACUAGNNNNNNNNNNNNNNNNNNNNNNNNNNNNNNNNNNNNNNNNNNNNNNNNNNNNNNNNNNNNNNNNNNNNNNNNNNNNNNNNNNNNNNNNNNNNNNNNNNNNNNNNNNNNNNNNNNNNNNNNNNNNNNNNNNNNNNNNNNNNNNNNNNNNNNNNNNNNNNNNNNNNNNNNNNNNNNNNNNNNNNNNNNNNNNNNNNNNNNNNNNNNNNNNNNNNNNNNNNNNNNNNNNNNNNNNNGGGGCGCCCAACCUCUCCUAUCUCUUUCCCUAAAGCCCAAUAAGGCCCAUAUACUCCCCGGCGAAUUCCCGUAACUCUUCGGUACUCCGAAAAAUACUCGAAUCACUCGGAACCUUUCUGAUGUCCGAAUAUAGUCGUCCAAUAUAUCGAUUUUUACGUCUCGACCAUUUCGAGACUCCUCGUCAUGUCCCCGAUCUCAUCCGGGACUCCGAACUCCUUCGGUACAUCAAAACUCAUAAACUCAUAAUAUAACUAUCAUCGAAACCUUAAGCGUGCGGACCCUACGGGUUCGAGAACAAUGUAGACAUGACCGAGACACGUCUCCGGUCAAUAACCAAUAGCAGAACCUGGAUGCUCAUAUUUGCUCCCACAUAUUCUAUGAAGAUCUUUAUCGGUCAGUCCGCAUAACAACAUACGUUGUUCCCUUUGUCAUCGGUAUGUUACUUGCCCGAGAUUCGAUCGUCGGUAUCUCAAUACCUAGUUCAAUUUUGUUACCGGCAAGUCUCUUUACUCGUUUCGUAAUACAUCAUUUCGCAACUAACUCAUUAGUUGUAAUGCUUGCAAGGCUUAUGUGAUGUGCAUUACCGAGAGGGCCCAGAGAUACCUCUCCGACAAUCGGAGUGAAAAAUCCUAAUCUCGAAAUACGCCAACCCAACAUGUACCUUCGGAGACACCUGUAGAGCUCCUUUAUAAUCACCCAGUUACAUUGUGACGUUUGGUAGCACACAAAGUGUUCCUCCGGCAAACGGGAGUUGCAUAAUCUCAUAGUCAUAGGAACAUGUAUAAGUCAUAAAGAAAGCAAUAGCAACAUACUAGACGAUCGGGUGCUAAGCUAAUGGAAUGGGUCAUGUCAAUCACACCAUUCUCCUAAUGAUGUGAUCUCAUUAAUCAAAUGACAACACAUGUCUAUGGUUAGGAAACAUAACCAUCUUCGAUUAACGAGCUAGUCAAGUAGAGGCAUACUAGUGACACUCUGUUUGUCUAUGUAUUCACACAUGUAUUAUGUUUCCGGUUAACACAAUUCUAGCAUGAAUAAUAAACAUUUAUCAUGAUAUAAGGAAAUAAAUAAUAACUUUAUUAUUGCCUCUAGGGCAUAUUUCCUUCACUAUGAUGUCUCUUACCGAUCUACCGCUGUCAUUUUGGGGCUAUGCUUUAGAGACUGCCGCAUUCACUUUAAAUAGGGCUCCGUCAAAAUCCGUUGAGACGACACCGUAUGAAUUAUGGUUUGGGAAGAAACCUAAGCUGUCGUUUCUAAAAGUUUGGGGAUGCGAUGCUUAUGUCAAGAAACUUCAACCUGAAAAGCUCAAACCCAAAUCGGAAAACGCGUCUUCAUAGGAUACCCUAAAGAAACUAUUGGGUAUACCUUCUACCUCAGAUCCAAAGGCAAGAUCUUUGUUGCCAAGAAUGGGUCCUUUCUAGAGAAAGAGUUUCUCUCGAAAGAAAUAAGUGGGAGGAAAGUAGAAGUUGAUGAAGUAUUACCUCUUGAACCGGUAAGUGGCGCAGCUCAAGAAAAUGUUCCUGAGGUGCCUGUACUGACUAGAGAGGAAGUUGAUGAUGAUGAUCAUGAAACUUCAGAUCAAGUUGCUACUGAACUUCGUAGGUCCACGAGGACACGUUCCGCACCAGAGUGGUACGGCAACCCUGUCUUGGAAAUCAUGUUGUUAGACAACGGUGAACCUUCAAACUAUGAAGAAGCAAUGGCGGGCCCAGAUUCUGACAAAUGGCUGGAAGCCAUGAAAUCCGAGAUAGGAUCCAUGUAUGAAAAUGAAGUAUGGACUUUGACUGACUUGCCCGAUGAUCGGCGAGCCAUAGAAAAUAAAUGGAUCUUUAAGAAGAAGACAGACGCGGAUGGUAACGUAACCAUCUAUAAAGCUCGGCUUGUCGCUAAGGGUUAUCGACAAGUUCAAGGGGUUGACUACGAUGAGACUUUCUCACCCGUAGCGAAACUGAAGUCCGUCCGAAUCAUGUUAGCAAUUGCCGCAUUCUAUGAUUAUGAGAUAUGGCAAAUGGACAUCAAAACGGCAUUCCUUAAUGGUUUCCUUAAGGAAGAAUUGUAUAUGAUGCAGCCGGAAGGUUUUGUCGAUCCUAAGAAUGCUGACAAGGUGUGCAAGCUCCAACGCUCGAUUUAUGGGCUGGUGCAAGCAUCUCGGAGUUGGAACAUUCGUUUUGAUGAGAUGAUCAAAGUGUUUGGGUUUACGCAGACUUAUGGAGAAGCCUGCAUUUACAAGAAAGUGAGUGGGAGCUCUGUAGCAUUUCUCAUAUUGUAUGUCGAUGACAUACUGUUGAUGGGAAAUGAUAUAGAAUUCUUGGGAAGCAUAAAGGCCUACUUGAACAAGUGUUUUUCAAUGAAGGACCUUGGAGAAGCUGCUUAUAUAUUAGGCAUCAAGAUCUAUAGAGAUAGAUCGAGACGUCUCAUUGGUCUUUCACAGAGUACGUACCUUGACAAGAUAUUGAAGAAGUUCAAAAUGGAUCAGUCAAAAAAGGGGUUCUUGUCUGUAUUGCAAGGUACGAGAUUGAGCAUGGCUCAAUGCCCGACCACGGCAGAAGAUAGAGAAAAGAUGAGUGUCGUCCCCUAUGCCUCGGCCAUAGGGUCUAUCAUGUAUGCUAUGCUGUGUACCAGACCUGAUGUUAACCUUGCCGUAAGUUUGGUAGGAAGGUACCAAAGUAAUCCCGACAUGAAACACUGGACAGCGGUCAAGAAUAUCCUGAAGUACCUGAAAAGGACUAAGGAUAUGUUUCUCGUUUAUGGAGGUGACGAAGAGCUCGUCGUAAAGGGUUACGUCUAUGCUAGCUUCGACACAUACACUACUAGGAAAAUGGCUAUAGAUGGGAUUGACACUAAUGGCGCACCAGAAAGAUGGUGCGCCAUUAGUAUAUACUAAUGGCGCACCACAAUCUGAUGCGCCAUUAGAGUUUAAACAACUAAUGGCGCACCAUGCUACGGGUGCGCCAUUAGUAUCAAAUUUUUUUUUAACUAGUGCGCAUGUCCAAACAUACUAAUGGCGCAUCCCGGCAAAGUGCGCCAUUAGUAGUUGUAACUACUAAUGGCGCACUAGGCAGCAGGUGCGCCAUUAGUAUAGAAUUUUUUUUUGAACUAGUGCGCCUAUCCAAACAUACUAAUGGCGCAUCCUGCCCAAGUGCGCCAUUAGUAGUUGUAACUACUAAUGGCGCACCAGGCAGUGGGUGCGCCAUUAGUAUAGGAUUUUUUUUUUGAACUAGUGCGCCUAUCCAAACAUACUAAUGGCGCAUCCUGCCCAAGUGCGCCAUUAGUAGUUGUAAGUACUAAUGGCGCACCAUGCAAGAGGUGCGCCAUUAGUAAGUGGGCAGCAACAAGAUAUUUAGGACAGCCUCUCCUACCCACACACUCACUUUCUCCCCACUUCAUUCUCUCCACCUCCUCCUUGUCUCGGGUGCCUCCUCUUUUUCACCUCAUUUCCACCAUAGAUUCAUUCAAAUUAAGUGGUUAAAUUACCUUGUUUUAAUAGGUAAGUAAGAGGGAAGCUAUAUUUAGGUUGUUCUCCUUACAACAAUGUGCACAUGCACUUUUUACGGCCUAGCUAGAUCUAUGUAUGUUCGUGGUGUUGCAUAUGUUUGUGGUGUUGCAUAUGUGUUUGUGUUUGGAGGUGUACCGGUAUUUGAUAUGCGAUAGUUGCCAAUAUUUUGCCGGAAUGUUGAUUCAUUUCCGUUUCGGCGAGAAUUUUGGCAUUAAGCAUUCUUUUUGGUCCUAUUUUUAGGGAAGGUCAUGCCAAAUUUUUGUUUGGUUCUAAAAUAUCGUUUUGCUCUACCCCGCAGGCGACCAUGGUCCGCACGAUGACCGAAGGCAUCGUGAAUAGGUUUUUGAGGUCCGCGAAGGCCGAGAUGCUUCAAAAGAACGAGACAGAGAUAAGAUGUCCGUGUCGAAGAUGCAAGCUGAAGAGCCUUAUUGUGGACCCGGAUUCCGGGCAGGUGCGGGACCACCUGCUGUUGCGUGGUUUCAUGGAUGGCUAUCGGUGGCAAGGUGAUGAAGAUGACUACGAAGUCGUCCAUGCGGGCCGGGCAAGAAAUGAGGAAGGGCAGCAAGACAACCACCACGGCUCGGGCGGGCGAGAAGACGAAGAAUCCCCAGGAGAUGAUCACGACUGUGAUGCUGUACACAGUCAUCAUGUAGAAGAUGCAGGACAUGAUGAUGAGGAAGAUGCCGGAGCAGGCGACGGGCAUGAUCAUGAAGAUGAUGAUGCCGGCGGAGCAGACGACGCUGGACCAUCGAUGGGCUGGGUGCAGGACCCUCAUAUUCAAGAGCUGCUUCUCAAGCAGACGGAUAACGCAAGAGCUGCCGCCCGAGAGAAAGCCAAAAUGGAUCAACUUGAGUUAGACGCGGUUACUCCAUUGUAUGAAGGAUGCAGGCCCGAGGAUACCCGCCUGAAAGUAACGCUCAUGGCCCUGGAGAUGAAGGUAAAACACAAAAUGACCGACGCAUGCUUCGACGAGAACAUGUCAUUCUGGCAUGAACGUCUUCCCAAGGGGAACAAGUGCCCGACCAGUUUGGAGGAGGCGAAGAAAAUCGUGUGUCCUCUGGAUUUACCGCACGUGAAAUACCAUGUGUGCAUGAACAAUUGCAUCAUUUAUCGGGACGAGCAUGCGGGGUCUACAAUAUGUCCGGUGUGCGGUGUCACUCGAUACAAGAAGAGGAAGAAAACUCCUCGAAAAGUGGUGUGGUACUUUCCGAUCACUCCUCGUCUGCAGCGGUAUUUCGCGGAUCCUAAGGUAGCAAAGCUCCUACGUUGGCACGCGGAUAGGGAGGAGAAGAAGCGAGAAGAUGACGCAAAUGAUCCGGAGAUAGAUAAAAAAGACAAGAUGCUGAGUCACCCUAAGGAUGCGAGCCAGUGGCAAGCAUUGAACUUCGAAUACCUAGAAUUUGGGAACGAUCCAAGGAACAUCGUGCUGGGCGCGAGCACCGAUGGAGUCAAUCCGUUUGGCAGCCAGAGAAGCACACAUAGCACCUGGCCUGUGUUUGUGUGGAUGUACAACCUUCCCCCCUGGUUGUGCAUGAAGAGGAAGUACAUUCACAUGAGUAUGCUAAUUGAAGGGCCGAAACAACCAGGGAACGACAUCAAUCUGUAUCUGGGGCUGCUGAAAGAGGAGCUUGACACGCUGUGGAAAACGCCAGCCAAUACGUGGGACGCCGCAGAGAAAGAAUAUUUCCCUAUGAGAGCCGCACUGCUCACGACGGUGCACGACUAUCUCGGUUACGGAUAUCUUGCGGGGCAGGUAGUCCACGGAUUUUCUGGAUGCGUAAGGUGCAUGGAUGACACAACGUAUCGCCAGCUAGAUAGAGAUCCCGGGUCUUUGAAAACCGUGUUCAUGGGACAUCGAAGGUGGCUUCGCGACAAUGACCCGUGGAGGAAACGCAAGGAUCUGUUCGAUGGUGAAACCGAACCCCGAAAACGCCCAUGUACGAGGAGCGGCGAGGAAAUAGACAAGCUGUUGAAAAAUUGGAAAGACUGCCCACUGCCGGGAAAGAAGCAAAAGGCGCCAGAGCCGGGAAAGAAGCGAAAGGCGCCAGAGCCGCUGCUGAAGGUAUGGAAAACGAGGUCUGUUUUCUGGGACUUGCCGUACUGGAAGAUCCACCGUGUGCCUCACAGCCUUGAUGUCAUGCAUAUCACGAAGAACGUGUGCGAGAGUCUGCUUGGUACCCUGCUCAACAUGCCAGAGAGGACCAAAGAUGGGCCGAAAGCAAGGGCAGACUUGAAAUCAAUGGGCAUCAGGCAGGAGCUUCACGCUAUAUAUGAUGAUGAUGAUGAUGAUGAUGAUGAUGAUGAUGAUGAUGAGGCGAAGCAGGACACAGAAAGUCGUCGCAAAGGCAAAAAGGCCAAGAAGACCGGAAAUGACUACCCUCCCGCGUGCUUCACUCUAAGUCAGGAGGAGAUCGAGCAGUUUUUCACCUGCCUCCUAGGAGUAAAACUUCCUUACGGUUACGCGGGGAAGAUAAGCAGAUACCUAGACCCAGCGAAGCAGAAGUUCAUCGGGAUGAAGUCUCACGACUGUCACGUGCUGAUGACGCAGAUACUUCCAGUUGCAAUCCGUGGGAUCAUGGACGCGCACGUCCGUGAAACGCUAUUUGGCCUAUGCAACUUCUUCGACGUCAUCUCUCGGAAGUCGAUUGGCGUGAGGCAACUCAGAAGGCUACAUGAAGAGAUCGUGGUGAUACUAUGCGAGCUUGAGAUGUACUUCCCGCCCGCAUUCUUCGACGUUAUGGUGCAUCUGCUGGUCCAUAUAGUGGAGGAUAUCAUCCAACUCGGGCCGACGUUCCUGCACAGCAUGAUGCCGUUCGAAAGGAUGAAUGGUGUCAUCAAAGGAUACGUUCGCAACAUGUCACGUCCAGAAGGAAGCAUAGCCAGGGGCUUUCUGACCGAAGAGUGCAUCUCCUACUCCACGAAUUAUCUAGGCAUCGAGAACCCCGUUGGUCUGCCCGUCAACAGGCACCUCGGCAGGCUCGCUGGAUGGGGUCACCGUGAGGGUCGCCGCGAAAUGCAUGUCGACUUCGAGGGUCGACUCGCCGACUUUGAAAGAGCAAACCUAGUCGCGCUACAACACAUAGACGUGGUCGAUCCUUGGUUGGUAGAGCACAAAACCUUUAUUAAAAAGACGUACAAUGACCGAGGCCAACAGAGGACGGACGGAGAUAUACUCAAAGAGCACAACUCAUGUUUCACGCGUUGGUUCAAGCAUAAGCUUCUGUCGUACCCUUUACAUGAGGAUUCUUCCGCGGAAGAACAACUCAUAUUCGCCUUGUCACAGGGCGCCGAGCACAACCUGAUGACCUAUGAGGCGUACGAUAUCAACGGCUACACAUUCUACACCGAGGCCAAGGACAUGAAGAGCGAUGGUUAUCAGAACUCCGGGGUAACGAUGGAAUCCUACACCGGUAACGACAAGGACAGAUACUACGGAAGGAUCGAGGAGAUCUGGGAGCUGAGCUACACUGGAGAGAAGGUCCCGAUGUUCCGUGUCAGAUGGGCCAAGAACGUCAUAAAAGAAGACCGGUAUUUCACCACCAUGGUUAUACCCGAAGCCAAAUCCAAGACCGCGGGCGCAAACGUCACCGCGAAAAAUGAGCCAUGGGUACUGGCUUCCCAAGUGGACCAAUGCUUCUUCAUUACCGACCCGCCAAAGCCCAGUCGUGUUGUCGUGAGGAGAGGCAAAAGGAAGAUCAUCCGAAUGGAUGGAGUAGCCAAUGAGCAAGACUUCGACAAGUACGGCGACCCGAGGAUCGAACAUGACGACGAUGAUGAAGUAGCAGCAUACACCACAAGAAGAAGCAGGACCACCCUACCUAAAGGACGUCCGUUCCACAGAAGAACUCCAUUUGCGAAAAAGAAGGGCAAGAAGAUUGUGAACAGAUAGCUAGCUAAGAUCGAUUGUAUUUAAAUCGUAGCCUUCAUUUCUUGAUUGUAUUUCAUGGGNNNNNNNNNNNNNNNNNNNNNNNNNNNNNNNNNNNNNNNNNNNNNNNNNNNNNNNNNNNNNNNNNNNNNNNNNNNNNNNNNNNNNNNNNNNNNNNNNNNNNNNNNNNNNNNNNNNNNNNNNNNNNNNNNNNNNNNNNNNNNNNNNNNNNNNNNNNNNNNNNNNNNNNNNNNNNNNNNNNNNNNNNNNNNNNNNNNNNNNNNNNNNNNNNNNNNNNNNNNNNNNNNNNNNNNNNNNNNNNNNNNNNNNNNNNNNNNNNNNNNNNNNNNNNNNNNNNNNNNNNNNNNNNNNNNNNNNNNNNNNNNNNNNNNNNNNNNNNNNNNNNNNNNNNNNNNNNNNNNNNNNNNNNNCUUUUUAAAUGCUAAAAAAAAAUUUGUGGAGCCCACCUCGAUCCCCCUCCAUCUCGACCGCUAUCCCACCUCGCCAGGUCCGGUCCCCCUCGGCGCCGAGCACCCCCCAAGUCCACCGGCCGCCGCCGCCGACCCACCGCACCCUCGAUUCCCCUACCCAACCGCCGCCGCCGACCCCCCGCACCCCGCGCACCAUCUUAUAAAAAAAAUAAGUAUCAAAUAGCUUUUUAAAUGCUAUUGUCUUAUAAAAAAAUAUUACUGUUAUUAUUUAAACAAGUUUGAACAUAUUUAAACAUAAAUAAGUAUCAAACAGCUUUUUAAAUGAUAAAAAAAAAUUUGUGGAGCCUGGGAGUCGAACCCAGGACCUCCUGGUGUGAGAACUGGCUACUGACCAGUCGAGCUAGUAGAGUGGGCUUGACGUGCAUAGGUUUUGGUAGUACAUAACCUUUUGGCUCGAGUUGAAAUAAAAAAAAGUACUAAUGGCGCACCACGGUGAGGUGCGCCAUUAGUAUGGACAUGCUAAUGGCGCACCACGGUGAGGUGCGCCAUUAGUAUUGUGGCCCGAUCCCCCUUGGCCCGAUCCCCCCUUCGCCCGAUCCCCCCUUCCCUCUCCCCCUCGCCAGUUCUCUCCCUCUCGAUCCACCGCCGCCGCCGCCGNNNNNNNNNNNNNNNNNNNNNNNNNNNNNNNNNNNNNNNNNNNNNNNNNNNNNNNNNNNNNNNNNNNNNNNNNNNNNNNNNNNNNNNNNNNNNNNNNNNNNNNNNNNNNNNNNNNNNNNNNNNNNNNNNNNNNNNNNNNNNNNNNNNNNNNNNNNNNNNNNNNNNNNNNNNNNNNNNNNNNNNNNNNNNNNNNNNNNNNNNNNNNNNNNNNNNNNNNNNNNNNNNNNNNNNNNNNNNNNNNNNNNNNNNNNNNNNNNNNNNNNNNNNNNNNNNNNNNNNNNNNNNNNNNNNNNNNNNNNNNNNNNNNNNNNNNNNNNNNNNNNNNNNNNNNNNNNNNNNNNNNNNNNNNNNNNNNNNNNNNNNNNNNNNNNNNNNNNNNNNNNNNNNNNNNNNNNNNNNNNNNNNNNNNNNNNNNNNNNNNNNNNNNNNNNNNNNNNNNNNNNNNNNNNNNNNNNNNNNNNNNNNNNNNNNNNNNNNNNNNNNNNNNNNNNNNNNNNNNNNNNNNNNNNNNNNNNNNNNNNNNNNNNNNNNNNNNNNNNNNNNNNNNNNNNNNNNNNNNNNNNNNNNNNNNNNNNNNNNNNNNNNNNNNNNNNNNNNNNNNNNNNNNNNNNNNNNNNNNNNNNNNNNNNNNNNNNNNNNNNNNNNNNNNNNNNNNNNNNNNNNNNNNNNNNNNNNNNNNNNNNNNUUUAAUUCCCGAUAAUUGGGUUUACACUGGAGUAUUUUAUUUCUGUGGGGAGAGGGAGAGAAGCCAGUGCAGGGUGUGGGAAGCACCUCUUCAUGUGAUUUUUUUUGCUUUAUUGUGUAAUUUUUUUUCUUGAGGCCCUGACCGUAGAACAACCGUUCUAUGGUAUUUUUUUCAAUUAUGUACAAACAGUUACAAGGUUGGAAAAGGAAAAGGUCUAUAAAACUUCAGUUUUUGCUAACAUUAGGAGAUUAAAGGUCCCUUGUGAUGUAUUUAUGUAAAUUGUGUUAAAGGGGGACUAAAAUGCAAAGCUUCUGACUUGAAGAUCCAACUAUUCUGGCUAUGAACAAGAAUAAAUUUUAGAGAGAUUCCAUGAAAGGAUUAUAAGUUGUUGUUGAUCCAAGUGUUGAAGGGAUCUACUUUCCUUUGCUUUGAUAUGUAUGCCGGACAGCCUCUUUACAGGUAGAGAUACCCUGUUCAAGGACAGGGGGGCGGGGGUGUGAACUUUGUGAAAUCCUGUCCUAUUGAUGACUUUGCAAACUUAUUAGGAGGUGGUGUUAGGAAAUCUAAACAGUUUAAACUAUAUAGGAAGACAUUUAUAGGUUAGAAACAAUCUGUUCUACUUCUGCAGAUUAUCUAGAUAAGUGAUGAAGUUUACUUAGUAUAGUAUUUUUUUUCUGUCACUUCUUUAUCUACCGAAAGUGUGAACCCAUGGUAUGAGCCACUAAUGCAAGCAUCGUCAUUCUUUUCUGAGUUUGUCUAAUUCACAUCUAAAUGUUUUCUAAGGAUGUCACAUCUAAGCUCCCACAAAUAACGCAGCAACAAGGAACAAAAAAAAGCUGGGGCAAAAAAAAUACACCACAAACAUAGUGGACACAAGGUUAGACGUGACAUAAAUGUGUCCUAGACAGACCCUUCUUUUCUUAGUGAAACAUCAACUUUCCAAAGACAAUAUUCCAAACUGGACAGUUGAUACAUAGAGCUAUUUUACUUUAACAUUUAAAGUGUGGCUGCAAAUCUGGGAUGCAGGAGGUGAAAAUUCAUUGUCUAAUCUGUUUCUCAGUUUCCUCUUUCAGAAACGAGAGAUUUUUCAAGACCUUGCUCCACUGCUGUGGCACUCCUUUGGCACUGUUGCUGCACUGCUCCAGGUAGGUUACAGUUAUUGCACUGUUCUAAAUUCAGUCGCAAUGGCAAGAGUACAUAUGUACUUGUGCAGUUCUUGUUAUUUAAGUAAGGGUGGUUGUCCAUGGUACUGAGCGCUGCUGUUUCUAUGCCAAGUCUUAAAUAUUUCCAUUGUUUAUUGUUAAAAAGCUUUCCUCAUUUUGGUGACUUUAUAGAAUAAGUAAAUCUUAACUAGCAGUGGUUAAUAAUUAAGUCUUCUUUUUCCUUUGCAGCUCACAUCCCACUGUACCUGUACCCGUUCCUGAAUACUACCAGCAAGACAAGACCUUUUGAGUACUUGAGGCUUACCAGCUUGGGUGUUAUUGGUGCUCUUGUGAAGGUAAAUUAAAACUAGAUACUUAUGCAAACUAGGAAUGGAUGGUCCAUAUAGAUUUUUGCUUUAAAUGGUGAGAGGGUUGUUGAACCAGAGGGGAAAACAGUGAUGGGGAUUGGCUGUAUUCUUUCUUUUUUUUGUAGACUAUAUCUUGUUCUUUUGGUAUUCUCAUUCCAGUAAUCCAGUCAUUUUAAUCAAAUGGACUGGUUGGGAUUGGAUCCCAGGAAUCUCAACAGGAACUGUUAUUUUUGAAGCAAACAGGCUAAUGAUUUGUUAGAAAUUAUAUUGUUUCUUCUUUUGGAUAUCCGAUUCUGAUAUGUCAGAAACACAACAUAUCAAAAGUUAGCAAUGACCAAACUGGCAUGUAACAGAGACACUAUAAAAGAUAGCCAACAUCCAGUUAGGCCAACAUAACAGUGAACAAAACUACUGUCAAUCAGCUCAGUUCUAGUGCUGUUGGAUUUUUCUCGAUUGUAUUCUUGCAGUUUUGAAAAUUCAGUUUAUUCGGUUACUGAAAAUUCAGUUAAUUCAGUUAGGCACACAAAUUUCAGAACUUUUGUGUGCCCUAGUACUUGGUGUUUGUAGAAAACCAGGAGUGUCAAUGGGACUAGAAUUCACUUGUUCUUAUCUGGGUUUGUAAAACUUGUUCAUGUACUGAACUACUAAUGCCUUGUGAUUCUCUGAAUUACUUGUGAUGCCUCUGAAUUACUUGUGAUCACAUUGAGAAAGACUUGUAAAGAUGAUGAUCAUCUUUAACAGAAAACAAUUUGUGAUGAUUUUGCUAGUUUGCUGGGUUUUGUCUCCGACCAUCAUGUCGUGAUGAUUUUGCAGGUACCCCGAGAGGCCCUUGAGUUUGCCGGAAUGUCGAUUAACUUCCGUUCCGGCAAAUUCGGGUACUCCAUAUGUCCUAUUUUCAGCAAAGGUCAUGCUGAAAUUUUCCGUGAAUUUUAGCAUGACUUUGCUAAAAAUAGGACAUAUGGGGUACUUGUGACUAAUGCAUGGGCCGGGGUAUCUUAGUAGUUAAUUAAGUAGGAUCAAGUGCCCCGGCGUACUUGUGACUAAUGCAUGGGCCGGGGUAUCUUAGUAGUUAAUUAAGUAGGAUCAAGUGCCCCGGCGUACUUGUGACUAAUGCAUGGCUUUUAGGGUGCCUCGGUGUCGAUAAAAACCGAAAUGAUGAAAAGUUAGGCUUUUAGGGUGCCUUGGCGUCGAAAAACCCUCAAUGAUAAAAGCUUAGAUUUUAGGAUGCCUCGGUGUCGACAAACCCUAAAUGAUGAGACCAUGAUCUUGUUCCUUGACAAUAACCAACUUUUUGACCAAACUUUGUUUCUAUUUAGAGAGAAACAUGGCCCACAACGAUGAGGCCGGGGGUUCGGGCGGCAAGGCAUUCUGGGAGCUGUCCCAGGAGAUGGAGGAACAACCUCACUUGUAUGAGGCCGCCGCCUUCCCCACCGAUCUUGAGACCACGGAUGGUGCCGCCGAGGAUGACCACACUGAUGCCACCACUGAUGGUGCCGCCGAGGAUGCCACCACUGAUGAUGGCGGCGCACGCACAGAUAGCAGCCAGCCGAAGAGGCAACGGAAGGACCGGCGCCCGAUCGUGCUCCGCACCCUCAAGGAGGAAGUUACUGAAUGGACUCCAACGGGAAUCCAACGGCGCCCGAACGAAUAGUCAAGGGGUACUCGCUUCAGCUCGGGUGCAUUGUCCGGAGCACCGUCUCGAUCAACACCGAGAACCUGAGGCAUCCUGACCGGGGGAAUUUGCGCCACCUCCUCUUCACGAAGCUGCACGAACGAUACAAGUUCCCCGCUGAAUUCAAAAACACAAGCCUCAAAGGGAAUAAAGUGAACAAUGCUGCCCUCACGAAGAUGAGCAAGGCCCUGUCUACUUGGAAAAGCAAUGUGAAGAGAAUGAUCGAGAAAGGUGAGAGUUAUGAGAAGAUCAAGGAGAAAAAUCCUUCGAUCACCGAAGAUGACUACAACGACUUCAAGAUCAAUUGCUCGAGCACCGCAAGCUCCCAAUCAAGUGAGUGGGGGAAACAAAUGCGGGAGCUGAACAUAGGGGAACACACACUCGGUCCCGGCGGUUACAGAGUGGCGGAGCCUAUAUGGGACAAGGAGGAGGCGGACCGUGCCGAGCAAGGCCUACCGCCCCUCUUCGAUAAAUACGGUGACAAGCAGACCAGGAACUUUGUCAGGGCCCGGUACAAGAAGGACCCGAAAACAAAGGAGCUUACCACGGAUCCGAAGACCAGGCAGCUUGAGCUUGUUCUGGUAAGGAAUACACCCCCGCGUAAUUAGCUCAUAUGGUUGCAUUCUAAUUAAUGAAGCCGAAUUUCUAAAUGGUUCACAUUCCUUCCGCAGGCGACUGAAAGCAGUAGCGCGGGGUCGACUCAGAGCAACCCUUGGGACACCACUCUAAAUAGGGGGUUGAAUAUAAUGAAGAACAAGGAUAAGCUCAGUAAGCCGACGUCAGCUGGUCGUGUGGCCGGCAAAGGCUUGUCGACAAAAUGGGGGUCAUACUAUACCGCUGGUGUGCGGAAGGAGAAAAAGACCAGCUCGGAAAGCCAGGCGCGAGAGGUUCAAGAACUCAAGGCACAGGUGGCGCGGAUUCCGGAGAUUGUCCAAGAGCAAGUGGAACAACGACUCGGAGCGACGAUCACCGCCCUUGUGCCUACCUUGAUCUCGGGGUUGAGUGCGUGGAUUGCGGGCGGCCAACAGGGGCCGCCCCCGAUUCCUAGCUUCACGGCCAGCAACUCGCAUAAUGCGAUGGCGGGGCCAUUGGUGCCUCCGGCGGAUGCGGCAUUGGUGUCUCCGACGCCGGCACGGGAGCUUAAUGCACCCAGGUGUACGCCGGCCGGCACCUCUUCAGCAAGCGGCCGCUCCGUCAACUGCACGCCCGCCGUUGGCGGUGCCUCGACAUUAGCCGAGCUCGACGCCAUCAUCACGGUAACUAAUUAAGCCUCUCUCGGCCGAGGACUUCAUCUCCUUGCCUUUGACUGGGCAUCCCUGACGCCCUACAUGUUUUCGCAGGGCGCCGCCGACGUUCCGUGCACUCUCCUCCACUUCGUGAACAACGAGUUGGUCGAUGUCGCCAAGGGCAAAAUCGUUCAACCGGGCAACCCCUUGUUCCACGGUACCCAGAUGCCACCCAACUUGUUUAGGGUUCAACUGGUUCGGGUGCUGCCAGGCUGCGACGACUUGUUACCUCCGAUUCGACCCGUCGGGGCCGACAAUGAUGACGUGAUGACCCUCAGCGCCUGCCUGAGCUGGCCCCUGCUUUGGCCGAAGAGCCAGAUUCGUUUGGGGGCGGGGGACACCACCCCAAAGACAACACCGCCAGUCGUGCCGGCGCCAAGUCGGCCCCAUGGCAAGACCGCUGUAACGGUGCCGGACAUCCCUAUGCCACUGGAUCCAAACAUGCAUAUGGCACAGGAUCAGAACGACGACGACGACGACGAUGAUACAUUUGGCAACGUCGAUCAGUACUUUGCCGAGCAUGGGUACGAUGGCGACUUCAUGGGGCCUCCUUCUCAAGAACCAAACCCAACAAAAGACGUGUGCGAUCUAGCUCGUACCGCGAAGAAGCCAAGUUGCAACAGGCGCCGUCUGGCGUUCAGCUCUCAGGAGACGCCUCCAGCUGCCGACUUCACCGAGCCUCAGAUAGGCGAGGUGCGAAAUAUUAUCAGCCCCAACACACUCAAGAAGGCGGUCUGUGAGCAGAACUCGGUCCCAUUACAGGAGAAGAAGAAGGCACGCAAAAGAAAGACUAAGAAGGGUGCGAGCCAGCCGGCACCGAGUACGAUCCGUGCUCAGGACGGGCCACCUUCACCGCAGGAUAUCUCGAGGAGGGUGCAUGUGGUGGGUAGGGCGAUGCUACCACCAAAUAUGCUCAAUGCUGCAACCGGUGCUAUGCGGAGUCUGCACGACAGUGUUCUUUCUUUGGAGAAGCGGCGUCUCAGAGAGAAGGAUGUGGCAUACCCGGUUUUCGUGGCCAAGGUGCCAGAGGGCAAGGGCUUUGUGGAUGGCGACAUCGGGGGUACGAUCGUCCUGCGGUUUGAUGACAUCUUUGCUAUGUUUAACCUUCAUCCGCUGCACUACACCUUCGUUCGGCUAUUUUCGCUGAGUAUGGAGAUGCGGAUCAUUCGCGACAAGACCCCGGACAUCGUGAUAGUCGACCCCUUCUACAUGCGUGCCAAGAUCUUGGGCAGCGCUGGGGACCGGCAAGUCGCGAGUUCUUACCUCGAAGGCGUCAUUCUGGCAAACCAAGAUAAGGAUAACUUCCUCGUGCCUUACUUUCCCGAGUAAGUCCUCCCCUCAACCNNNNNNNNNNAAAUUCGGGUACUCCAUAUGUCCUAUUUUCAGCAAAGGUCAUGCUGAAAUUUUCCGUGAAUUUUAGCAUGACUUUGCUAAAAAUAGGACAUAUGGGGUACUUGUGACUAAUGCAUGGGCCGGGGUAUCUUAGUAGUUAAUUAAGUAGGAUCAAGUGCCCCGGCGUACUUGUGACUAAUGCAUGGCUUUUAGGGUGCCUCGGUGUCGAUAAAAACCGAAAUGAUGAAAAGUUAGGCUUUUAGGGUGCCUUGGCGUCGAAAAACCCUCAAUGAUAAAAGCUUAGAUUUUAGGAUGCCUCGGUGUCGACAAACCCUAAAUGAUGAGACCAUGAUCUUGUUCCUUGACAAUAACCAACUUUUUGACCAAACUUUGUUUCUAUUUAGAGAGAAACAUGGCCCACAACGAUGAGGCCGGGGGUUCGGGCGGCAAGGCAUUCUGGAAGCUGUCCCAGGAGAUGGAGGAACAACCUCACUUGUAUGAGGCCGCCGCCUUCCCCACCGAUCCUAAGACCACGGAUGGUGCCGCCGAGGAUGACCACACUGAUGCCACCACUGAUGGUGCCGCCGAGGAUGCCACAACUGAUGAUGGCGGUGCACGCACAGAUAGCAGCCAGCCGAAGAGGCAACGGAAGGACCGGCGCCCGAUCGUGCUCCGCACCCUCAAGGAGGAAGUUACUGAAGUGGACUCCAACGGGAAUCCAACGGCGCCCGAACGAAUAGUCAAGGGGUACUCGCUUCAGCUCGGGUGUAUUGUCCGGAGCACCGUCUCGAUCAACACCGAGAACCUGAGGCAUCCUGACCGGGGGAAUUUGCGCCACCUCCUCUUCACGAAGCUGCACGAACGAUACAAGUUCCCCGCUGAAUUCGAAAACACAAGCCUCAAAGGGAAUAAAGUGAACAAUGCUGCCCUCACGAAGAUGAGCAAGGCCCUGUCUACUUGGAAAAGCAAUGUGAAGAGAAUGAUCGAGAAAGGUGAGAGUUAUGAGAAGAUCAAGGAGAAAAAUCCUUCGAUCACCGAAGAUGACUACAACGACUUCAAGAUCAAUUGCUCGAGCACCGCAAGCUCCCAAUCAAGUGAGUGGGGGAAACAAAUGCGGGAGCUGAACAUAGGGGAACACACACUCGGUCCCGGCGGUUACAGAGUGGCGGAGCCUAUAUGGGACAAGGAGGAGGCGGACCGUGCCGAGCAAUGCCCCUCUUCGAUAAAUACGGUGACAAGCAGACCAGGAACUUUGUCAGGGCCCGGUACAAGAAGGACCCGAAAACAAAGGAGCUUACCACGGAUCCGAAGACCAGGCAGCUUGAGCUUGUUCUGGUAAGGAAUACACCCCCGCGUAAUUAGCUCCAUAUGGUUGCAUUCUAAUUAAUGAAGCCGAAUUUCUAAAUGGUUCACAUUCCUUCCGCAGGCGACUGAAAGCAGUAGCGCGGGGUCGACUCAGAGCAACCCUUGGGACACCACUCUAAAUAGGGGGUUGAAUAUAAUGAAGAACAAGGAUAAGCUCAGUAAGCCGACGUCAGCUGGUCGUGUGGCCGGCAAAGGCUUGUCGACAAAAUGGGGGUCAUACUAUACCGCUGGUGUGCGGAAGGAGAAAAAGACCAGCUCGGAAAGCCAGGCGUGAGAGGUUCAAGAACUCAAGGCACAGGUGGCGCGGAUUCCGGAGAUUGUCCAAGAGCAAGUGGAACAACGACUCGGAGCGACGAUCACCGCCCUUGUGCCUACCUUGAUCUUGGGGUUGAGUGCGUGGAUUGCGGGCGGCCAACAGGGGCCGCCCCCGAUUCCUAGCUUCACGGCCAGCAACUCGCAUAAUGCGAUGGCGGGGCCAUUGGUGCCUCCGGCGGAGGCGGCAUUGGUGUCUCCGACGCCGGCAUGGGAGCUUAAUGCACCCGGGUGUACGCCGGCCGGCACCUCUUCAGCAAGCGGCCGCUCCGUCAACUGCACGCCCGCCGUUGGCGGUGCCUCGACAUUAGCCGAGCUCGACGCCAUCAUCACGGUAACUAAUUAAGCCUCUCUCGGCCGAGGACUUCAUCUCCUUGCCUUUGACUGGGCAUCCCUGACGCCCUACAUGUUUUCGCAGGGCGCCGCCGACGUUCCGUGCACUCUCCUCCACUUCGUGAACAACGAGUUGGUCGAUGUCGCCAAGGGCAAAAUCGUUCAACCGGGCAACCCCUUGUUCCACGGUACCCAGAUGCCACCCAACUUGUUUAGGGUUCAACUGGUUCGGGUGCUGCCAGGCUGCGACGACUUGUUACCUCCGAUUCGACCCGUCGGGGCCGACGAUGAUGACGUGAUGACCCUCAGCGCCUGCCUGAGCUGGCCCCUGCUUUGGCCGAAGAUCCAGAUUCGUUUGGGGGCGGGGGACACCACCCCAAAGACAACACCGCCAGUCGUGCCGGCGCCAAGUCGGCCCCAUGGCAAGACCGUCGUAACAGUGCCGGACAUCCCUAUGCCACUGGAUCCAAACAUGCAUAUGGCACAGGAUCAGAACGACGACGACGACGACGAUACAUUUGGCAACGUCGAUCAGUACUUUGCCGAGCAUGGGUACGAUGGCGACUUCAUGGGGCCUCCUUCUCAAGAACCAAACCCAACAAAAGACGUGUGCGAUCUAGCUCGUACCGCGGAGAAGCCAAGUUGCAACAGGCGCCGUCUGGCGUUCAGCUCUCAGGAGACGCCUCCAGCUGCCGACUUCACCGAGCCUCAGAUAGGCGAGGUGCGAAAUAUUAUCAGCCCCAACACACUCAAGAAGGCGGUCUGUGAGCAGAACUCGGUCCCAUUACAGGAGAAGAAGAAGGCACGCAAAAGAAAGACUAAGAAGGGUGCGAGCCAGCCGGCACCGAGUACGAUCCGUGCUCAGGACGGGCCACCUUCACCGCAGGAUAUCUCGAGGAGGGUGCAUGUGGUGGGUAGGGCGAUGCUACCACCAAAUAUGCUCAAUGCUGCAACCGGUGCUAUGCGGAGUCUGCACGACAGUGUUCUUUCUUUGGAGAAGCGGCGUCUCAGAGAGAAGGAUGUGGCAUACCCGGUUUUCGUGGCCAAGGUGCCAGAGGGCAAGGGCUUUGUGGAUGGCGACAUCGGGGGUACGAUCGUCCUGCGGUUUGAUGACAUCUUUGCUAUGUUUAACCUUCAUCCGCUGCACUACACCUUCGUUCGGCUAUUUUCGCUGAGUAUGGAGAUGCGGAUCAUUCGCGACAAGACCCCGGACAUCGUGAUAGUCGACCCCUUCUACAUGCGUGCCAAGAUCUUGGGCAGCGCUGGGGACCGGCAAGUCGCGAGUUCUUACCUCGAAGGCGUCAUUCUGGCAAACCAAGAUAAGGAUAACUUCCUCGUGCCUUACUUUCCCGAGUAAGUCCUCCCCUCAACCGGCCCGUAACAUACGAAUUCUUACUUUUCGAUCGUUUUUCUUUUAACAUUCCGUGUUUUCUGCAGUGACACACGUUGCACGCUCAUCCUCCUAAGCCCCAAAUAUUCCAUGGCCACGUAUUUCGACCCGGACCGUCAGUCGAACGUAGACUACACAAAUGUCAAGAAGGUUCUUGAUGAUGUUCUCCCCGGCUACGCCCAAUCUGGAGGCACCUUCACCAGGCCUAUUCGUAAGUACGGCAAGCACGUGUUCUCCCACAAUACGACGUUCUGCUGCGUCAAGCAGCCGCCUAGCGGUCAGAAGGGUGCCUACUACGCCAUCCAUCACAUGCGGGCGAUCGUACGGGACCAUCAUCAACUUCUGCUACCGAGUAAACUCCAAGAUUGGGCCGCGAGCGUGUCGGCAAUCCAGGACGCGGACCUCUGACAAGAAUUCUUUCGCAUCCAGUCGGAGUUUGCGGAAAUCAUCCAUCAAGAUGUCCUUCGUACCUCGGGGCAGUUCUACCUCAGAAAUCAACCGUCCAACAGUGACAUCGACACAAUGCUACAAAUGCAGGAUGACAACGCCCGUUCUUUCAUGACUCCCACGAUAGACGGCGGCUUCAUCCACGCUCCGGUCCCUUGAGUCGAGUUGUCUAGUUCUGAAACAUCGAUUGGCUCAUGUUGUAAUUAAACUUUAAUGAACUUGUAGUAUGUCUCUUUGGUUUUGAGAGUCGUUCAACUUAGAUGUAAUCGAUGCUAUUAAUGUCUUGCUUUUCUCUUCCGAUCGUUCUGUUGCAUAAUUAUAUAUUGCUUAUGUAUUGUCUGUGAAUUGGUACUAACGUUUCGUUUGGCUAGUGCAUAGUGAUGCCGACGUAUGUCGUGUACAAGGGUAAGGUUCCCGGAGUCUACGAUGACUGGGAGGAGUGUCGGAGACAGGUUCACCGAUUCAGCGGUAACAGUUACAAAGGGUACACCACUAGGGCCGAGGCCGAAUCUAGAUACGCCCGCUAUCUAGCGGGAGAGGGAGGGAGCGUUGGAGGAACCGGAUGAAGACGAGUUUCAUCGUGAUGAUGCUCAUCGUGAUGACCGCAGCUCUCUUCUAUGUGAUGGUAGUUUAGAUGAUCGAUAUCGACUUGUAAUGCGAAGACAAACUCGCUACUCGCGGUCUCGAGACUUGUAAUAUAAUGUUCUAUCUUUGUUCGGUCUUUUUAAUUCGGAGACUAAUAUGAUGAAUUGUAUUCGGAGACUAAUAUGAUGAAUUGUAUUCAAAGACUAAUCUUCUAUUGUAUUUGAUGAAUCUAUUGUUGAUGUGUGCUGUCUAUAUUUUGUCAAAUUAUACAUUUUGUAACCUGUGCAAAAAACAGAAAAUAAAAAAAUAAAAAAAAACUAAUAUUCAUACUAAUGGCGCAUCACACGACAGUGCGCCAUUAGUAUGACAGUGCAUACUAAUGGCGCAUCACCGGGUAGUGCGCCAUUAGUAUGCUGCGGUUACUAAUGGCGCAUCCAGAGGUGGUGCGCCAUUAGUAUGCCAAAGCACCUGGGUAUACAUGCCAACUGGGAGGCAUACUAAUGGCGCACCCUCGCAUAUACUAAUGGCGCACCAGGUGGUGCGCCAUUAGUAUACCAGAUACUAAUGGCGCACCAGCUGGUGCGCCAUUAGUAAAAAUUACUAAUGGCGUGCUAUCAAUGGCGCACCAGUGAUGCGCCAUUAAUGGCCAUAUUAGGUGCGCCAUUAGUAGUGGUAUUUCUAGUAGUGAUAUCCGGAUGACUCUAAGUCACAAACCGGAUACGUGUAUAUUUUGAAUGGUGGGGCAGUAAGCUGGUGCAGUUGCAAGCAAAGCGUUGUGGCGGGAUCUACAUGUGAAGCGGAGUACAUGGCAGCCUCGGAGGCAGCACAAGAGGCAAUCUGGGUGAAGGAGUUCAUUACCGACCUAGGAGUCAUACCCAAUGCGUCGGGCCCGAUGACUUUCUUCUGUGACAACACUGGAGCUAUUGCCCUUGCCAAGGAGCCCAGGUUUCACAGGAAGACCAGACAUAUCAAGCGUCGCUUCAACUCCAUUCGUGAAAGUGUUCAAAAUGGAGACAUAGAUAUUUGUAAAGUACAUACGAACCUGAAUGUGGCAGAUCCGUUGACUAAACCUCUCCCUAGAGCAAAACAUGAUCAACACCAGAACUGCAUGGGUGUUCGAUUCAUCACUAUGUAACUAGACUAUUGACUCUAGUGCAAGUGGGAGACUGUUGGAAAUAUGCCCUAGAGGCAAUAAUAAAAUGGUUAUUAUUAUAUUUCUUUGUUCAUGAUAAUUGUCUAUUGUUCAUGCUAUAAUUGUGUUAUCCGGAAAUCGUAAUACAUGUGUGAAUACAUAGACCACAACACGUCCCUAGUGAGCCUCUAGUUGACUAGCUCGUUGAUCAAAAGAUAGUCAUGGUUUCCUGACUAUGGACAUUGGAUGUCAUUGAUAACGGGAUCACAUCAUUAGGAGAAUGAUGUGAUGGACAAGACCCAAUCCUAAGCAUAGCUCAAAGAUUGUGUAGUUCGUUUGCUGUAGCUUUUCCGAAUGUCAAGUAUCAUUUCCUUAGACCAUGAGAUUGUGCAACUCCCGGAUACCGUAGGAGUGCUUUGGGUGUGCUAAACGUCACAACGUAACUGGAUGACUAUAAAGGUACACUAUAGGUCUCUCCUAAAGUGUCUGUUGGGUUGGCACGAAUCGAGACUGGGAUUUGUCACUCCGUAUGACGGAGAGGUAUCUCUGGGCCCACUCGGUAAUGCAUCAUCAUAAUGAGCUCAAUGUGACCAAGUGAUUGAUCACGGGAUCAUGCAUUACUGUACGAGUAAAGUGACUUGCCGGUAACGAGAUUGAACGAGGUAUUGGGAUACCGACGAUCGAGUCUCGGGCAAGUAACGUACCGAUUGACAAAGGGAAUUGUAUACGGAUUGAUUGAAUCCUCGACAUCGUGGUUCAUCCGAUGAGAUCAUCGAGGAGCAUGUGGGAGCCAACAUGGGUAUCCAGAUCCCGCUGUUGGUUAUUGACCGGAGAGUCGUCACGGUCAUGUCUACGUGUCUCCCGAACCCGUAGGGUCUACACACUUAAGGUUCAGUGACGCUAGGGUUGUUGAGAUAUUAGUAUACGGUAACCCGAAAGUUGUUCGGAGUCCAGGAUGAGAUCCCGGACGUCACGAGGAAUUCCGGAAUGGUCCGGAGGUGAAGAUUUAUAUAUAGGAAGUCAAGUUUCGGCCAUCGGGAAGGUUUUCGGGGUAAUCGGUAUUGUACCGGGACCACCGGAAGGGUCCCGGGGGUCCACCGGGUGGGGCCACCUAUCCCGGAGGGCCCCAUGGGCUGAAGUGGGAGGGGAACCAGCCCCUUGUGGGCUGGUGCGCCCCCCCCCCCAUGAGCCUCCCCCUGCACCUAGGGUUGGAAACCCUAGGGGUGGGGGCGCCCCACUUGCCNNNNNNNNNNNNNNNNNNNNNNNNNNNNNNNNNNNNNNNNNNNNNNNNNNNNNNNNNNNNNNNNNNNNNNNNNNNNNNNNNNNNNNNNNNNNNNNNNNNNNNNNNNNNNNNNNNNNNNNNNNNNNNNNNNNNNNNNNNNNNNNNNNNNNNNNNNNNNNNNNNNNNNNNNNNNNNNNNNNNNNNNNNNNNNNNNNNNNNNNNNNNNNNNNNNNNNNNNNNNNNNNNNNNNNNNNNNNNNNNNNNNNNNNNNNNNNNNNNNNNNNNNNNNNNNNNNNNNNNNNNNNNNNNNNNNNNNAUCUCCUAGGGCCGGCGCCCCCCUAGGGGUCCAAUAAAUAGUGGGGGGGAGGGAGGGCAGCCGCACCCUAGCCCCUGGCCUCUCCCUCUCCCUCCCGUGACACUCCUCCAUCUCCCUGUGCUUGGCGAAGCCCUGCCGAGAUCACCGUUACUUCCACCACCACGCCGUCGUGCUGCUGGAUCUUCAUCAACCUCUCCUUCCCCCUUGCUGGAUCAAGUUGGAGGAGACGUCUUCCCAACCGUAUGUGUGUUGAACGCGGAGGUGCGUCCAUUCGGCGCUAGGUCAUCGGUGAUUUGGAUCACGACGAGUACGACUCCAUCAACCCCGUUCUCUUGAACGCUUCCGCGCGCGAUCUACAAGGGUAUGUAGAUGCACUUCUCUCUCCCUCAUUGCUAGAUGACUCCAUAGAUUGAUCUUGGCGAUGCGUAAAUUUUUUUAAAAUUCUGCUACGUUCCAGCACGGUACCUCCCGUGCACGGUAGAAAAGCCGGUCUCGACAGCAUGGUGAGUUCCUCGAGCACACACACCAUGGCAUGGCAGAAUGUAUAGGAACAAUAUCGGUGGACCAUGAGAAAAUCCCAAUCAGCCACAUAUGAUCAUGGUAACUCUAGACCAACAAAAUUUGGAGAGCAUGGCAAUAAUCUCCGUCACACACAAACUAGACCACUGGCCAGUCUCUGCUAUGCAGAGAAGGAAACGUGGCAAAACAUGGGGUAAAAUGACCAACAAGAGAACAAAAUCAGCUAAAAGAACGACCCUAGAACUGUUGGGAUCAAUAUGUCUCAAAUAGCUAAUUUGGCAUUCGCCCUCAUUGACGCAAUUUUGGCUUUAAAAAUUGCGCACAUAAGAACAAAUUCUUCACAACACUAAAAAGGCAAAAAAAAAAUUGAAACCCGCCAAUGCCCAUGGCACUCUUGCGGCUGUGGCCACGACGCUCGCCGCCGCCGCCACCGCCUCAAUCCGACGAGCACUACGGUCCUCCCCAUCGUGACGACUUUAACAACUUGGAAGCCCUACCCUGACAACACCAUCGUGCGCACGCGGAGCAUCAUACUUUGAGCCCUAGCCCAAUGUCAGCGGUUGACCGUGCUUGAAUCAUCGGCGAAGACAAAGCUACAGGGCAGAGAGCGAGAAGGGGGAGAGAAGGAAUGAGCGAAUGCGGUUAGUGGGGCGAAUGGAGGGGAGGAAGAGAGGGGUUAGUGGGAUUGGAUCGUUCGCUAGACUGGGGGUUAGAGCGAACCGUUUACACGUGUUACGUGGUGAGCCUCCCCACGCCAAUAUUUGUAAUUUCCUAACACUAGUAAGUAUGCAUGUGCAAUGCACGCCUAAUUAUUAAUCAUAUGUGAAAACGCAUGUUGUUUGGUAUAAUUAGUACCCCCAACCUGAACAUAUGCUACUACGGUACAUCCAUUUUUUAAGUUUGUAUAUAAUUAAGGGCCAUCUAUAUGCCCAAAUCUGAUAUUAGAAACAGUAUUGAUCAGUUUUAGAUCUUACCUAUAAACCUAAAUUAAGCAAGCAUUAUAUGCAUUCAUUUCCAAAGCAACACAUGAAGACUUGAUGGAUCAGGGCAUAAGGCUUCGUUGUAAAGAACUGUGGUAUCUUCACAUACUCCCUCCACCCUUAAGAGAGUGUACUUUCAACUUGGUUAAAGAAUCAAACUACUUCAAAGCUUGAUCGAGUUUGUGCAAACAUAUAUUAAUAUUUGUGAAACCAAAUAGGUAUAUAAUGAAAAUAUAUUUUAUCAUAAAUAUAAUGCUACUAAUUUGAUAGCAUAAAUAUUGAUGUACUAUUAUAUAAAUACGGCAAACAUAAAAGAGUUUGACUUUCCAACAAAGUAGUCCUAUAGAAUCAAGAUUAAUUAAACUUAAACAUAAUUAGUCUAAUUUCCUAACAAUCAACAAAAUAUUUCCACGGUGGAACAGUAUGGUCCAAAACCGAUCAUUUUCGCAACGAAAAAUAAAAUGCAACAGAUCUUAUAAUCUUCCAAAACCGAUUUGCUUGGUCUCGAAGCCAAGGAUGCUAUUGAUGAUCUCUAUAUCCCAAUAAACACGCACGCACGCACAAAGUUAGGGAUUACAACUAAUUAAUCAUGAUUCGGUGCUAUAUAUUAAAUCAAAUCCCACAGCUGUUGUAGAUCCAUUACUACGCACGAACAAAGUUGUACUUCCAUCGGAGAAGAAGGCGAAUCCAAGAGCUUUGGAUGAUUAAUCCCAUGGAGACGAGGUGCGCCGUCUGUCAUGGCGACAUGGGCCGCGGCCACGCCACCUUCACGGCCGAGUGCUCCCACAGCUUCCACAUCCGCUGCGUCCACCACCAGACCGCCUGCCCGCUCUGCUUCACGCCGUGGCGCGACGUGCCGGGCGUGGCGCCCGCCCAGGAGCUCGUCUUCCGCGACGACGAGCCGCUCGAGCCGCAGCCCGCAGCUGUCGCCGCGGAGAAGACGACUGCCGGCGGCGGAGUGAUGUCCAUCACGACGCACUGCGAAUACCCCGCCAUCGCCAAGUACGCCAGCCGCGACGGCUUCGCGGUGCUCGUGCACGCCAAGGCGCCCGCGCUGGCUCCGGCCGCGGCCAAGGCGGCGCGCGCGCCCCUGGAUCUCGUCAUGGUGCUCGACGUCAGCGGGAGCAUGGGCGGCCGCAAGCUGGCGCUGCUUAAGCAGGCCGUGGGCUUCGUCGUCGACAAGCUCGGCCCCCACGACCGCCUCAGCCUCGUGUCCUUCUCGUGCGACGCCCGCCGCCUCACCCGCCUCACGCGCAUGUCCGACGCCGGGAGGGCCGCGACCGAGCGCACCGUCGAGUCCCUGGCCGCGGGUGGCGGGACGAACAUCAAGGAGGGCCUUCGCGAGGCCGCCAAGGUGAUCGACGGCCGCCGCUACAGGAACGCCGUUACCGGCGUCAUCCUGCUCUCCGACGGCCAAGACAACUACACGCUGUCUUCAAGGUUUUACAAUCACGACGUGGCCACCGACUACAGCGUGCUCGUGCCACCUUCCCUGAUCCGCACGGGGGACGGUUCCUCGCCGCCGAUCCACACGUUCGGCUUUGGCACCGACCACGACUCGGCGGCGAUGCACACCAUCGCGGAGGCCACCGGCGGCACCUUCGCCUUCAUCGAGAACGAGGCAGUCAUCCAGGACUCGUUCGCGCAGUGCAUCGGCGGGCUUCUCUCGGUCGCCGUGCAGGAGGCGCGCGUCGCCGUCGAGUGCGUCUGCCCCGGCGUUCGCGUCCGGUCCAUCAAGUCGGGACGCUACAAGAGCCGCGUCGAUGCUGACGGGCGCGCCGCCGCGGUGGAAGUCGGCGAGCUAUACGCCGACGAGGAAAGGCGCUUCCUGCUGUUCCUCGACGUGCCCACGGCCGGUGCCACGGACGACGUGACAUCUCUGAUGAAGGUGAGCUGCACAUACCGCGACGUGGCGACCGGGCAGUCGGUCGACGUGGCAGGCGAGGAGGUGGCGGUGAAAAGGCCGGUGGAGGUGCCGGAGGCAGAGCCGGACGUGGAGGUCGAGCGGGAGCGCCUCCGCGUGCAGGCCGCGGAGGACAUCGCCGCGGCGCGGGCGGCGGCCGAGCGCGGCGAGCACGCGGAGGCGUCGGAGAUGCUCAGCCGCCGGCGCAUGGCGCUGAGGCAGUCGCCGCUGGGCGCGAGCGGCGACGCCGGGUGCGCGGAGCUGGCGGCGGAGCUGGGCGAGCUGAGCGAGCGCGUGGGGGACCGGAGGGAGUACGACCUGUCGGGGCGCGCGUCGUUGCUGUGCGGCAUGAGCGCGCACUCGCAGCAGCGCACGUCGGUCAAAGUUGGGAGGGCGAGGUACGCGACCCCCGCCAUGCGUAAGAUGGUGGACUUGUCGGUGAAGGCCCGGGAGCAGCAGCAGCAGCCACAGGCACAGGCACAGCCAUCGCCGCCUUCAAGGCCGACGAUGCCGCCGCCGCCGCCGCCUCCGACGACGACGGCGGCUCUCGCUAAGAACAUCGUGAGAAGAUACCACCGAUUUCUACGUCUCAGGUGAAUACGGGGCGACCAACUCAACUGCUACGAAAAUGCUCGCGCGCGACGAGCACAGAAAAUAAUGAAGACGUGAACUUGCACGGUUUUUUUUAGCUUAAAAAAUUUGUUUCCUCUCUCUUUGCAUUCAUCAAUCUUGUAGUACUACCAUAUAUAUAUAUAUUUUUGCGGGGAAGUUCCUAGCAGAUAAUAAUAGGCUGGUUUGGCUUACUAUUUUCCCUUUUACAUUCGUAUGAAUUACUGUAUUUAUAUGGAUCGUCAGCUGGAGACGACGUGCGAGUGAACGCUUGGUUCGAUCGAAAAACCCCUAUUCUGUUUGCUGGGAUUAAUCCUCCCGAACGAAACCAACUCACCGAGAGCCUCUCCGCUAGGUCAAUUUUUUUUACGCUACAACACGGGCAAGGAAGAAAAAGGCCAAAAAAAGACCCAGCUUUAGCACCAUAGAAAAAGGCCUUUGAAACUAAAAUAUUUUUUUGCCAUGUGUAUAAACGAAAAUUUGCCAAAUAGCAAGCAAAAAAAUUGCAUAGCUCUGAAAAAUUAAUUUGCCAAAUACAUAUAAAUACCAAAGUACAAGGCAAAAUUUCUGUAUCAAAAAAUAACAUUUUCCAUCAACAAAAAAAUAAAAAUAUAUUUCCCGUCAUAUAUAGCAUGAUUUUGCCAAUUGCAUGUAAAAACACAUACAAAAAAAUUGUUUAAUUGCCAUGAUAGUAAUAAAAUUGCCAAGGUCUGCAUAAUAAAGUGCAAUGCUAGCUACAAUAAAACUAUCAUUGUCUAAAUUAAGGGUAAGGUACAAUUGCACAUUGAAUUUUUGAAAAGUAGGAAUUCGUUCAUUUUGGAAAAAAAAGAUGGCUCAAUUAGGGGAUAUAUUAUAAAAAAUUACCAUGAUCAAGAUAUUAAAAUUGCCACGACAAUAAAAAUAAAAUAAAAAUGCCAUGAUCUUAAAAAUAAAAAUAACAUGAUUUACAUAUUGUCUUCUCAUAACAUAAGAUCACAAGAAAUUUGCUGCAAACCAACAUGUGGUUGGAUGGUUAGGAGGACAAUGGUAUCCCCAACUCACUAGGGAACCUUGAUUGCGAGGCGCAUGUGGUGACUUCGUAAAAUCUCAAGAUUUUAUGCUGGCUCAGUCUCUCGAGGUGCUCGUAGGGGUACAGUGUGCGUGCAUGCGCUCAUAUGGAUGACUGUAUGAUCGUGCAUGUGAGCGACUUCGAUUGUACUCUGUAUAGAAGAAGGUGCCAAGCAAAAGAAGCUUCAUAAAUAUGCAAAAUACUUCUUUUAAGUUGACAUAAUUUUUUUGCCAUGUGAGUUCUUAAUUGUUUUGUGAUCAUCUAAAAAAUUAAUGGCGUGUAUUCUAGGUGUAAAUAAAAUUACCAUGGUAUAGAUAAAAAAAGUCAUGCUCUAUAUACAAGCAGGUGCCAAGUAAAAGAAGAUUCCUUAAUAUGCAAAAGACUUCUUUUAAGUUGACAUAAUUUUUUUGCCAUGUGAGUUCUUAAUUGUUGUGUCAUCAUCUAAAAAAAAAUUAAUGCCAUGUAUUCUAGGUGUAAAUAAAAUUGCCAUGGUAUUCUGUCCCAUGGUAGCCAUAAGUAAAAUGCCUUGGUCAACAUAAUUGCCAUGGUGUUUUAAAUACAUUUGCCAUUGUAGGCAUAAAUAAAAUGCCAUGGCCAAUGCAAUAAGAAUGCCAUGAGAACAAUUAUUAAAAAUGUAGUAUAAACUUACAAAAGUUGCCUAUGGGAAAAACAUUUGAAAAAAGUUUGCCAUGCAUAAUUUAUAGCUUAAAAGGCAGCAAAUUGCCAUGAAAUUAGCAUAUAUAGAUCGAAUACAAAAUAAGAUUGCCAUGACACAUCUCUAUAUGUAUUACAAAACUUAAGGUGGCUUGGCAAAAAGAUCUUAAUUUUUUGACAUCGUAACUAUAUAAAGUCAUGAAAAUUGAGUGGGGGUAGGUUCAAGGGAGAGGUGGAAGCGAUCGAACAAACGACCUAUAUACUUAGAGAUGUAUAUCUCUUAGCGUUAUCUCUGCCAAACAGAUAUCCCUAAAUAUGUGGUGAGAGAUUUCUUGCUAAGAGAUCAUGUGUUAAUUAAGAAAAAAGGCAAACCUUUCUUUAGCUUUCUCUUUCCUCCAUCUUAGCAUGUAUUGUAGAUGGCACUUCUAAGAUGGCAUCAUUGUGCAUGCUCUAAUUAAUUUGCUUAUUAGUAUGGCCCAGUAGCCCCUACCUCAUACAUCUACUCGUGAAAAUACAGGAUCUUUUUUGAAAUGUAACACACAUUUGUCUUUUUGUAUGCCCAUUUUUGUUUCUUUCAGCAUACUAUAGCUAAUUAAAAAAAACUAUGUCAAAUCUUUUAUCGACUUAGUAAAAUAAAAUGACACAUGGAUCAAUCCUAAUUUCCAAAGUUUGCGACGUUAGUUGGCAGCAAACUAAAUGGCAGCACAAUGAUUUUUCUUUAAUUUUGGUAGGAACAUUGGCUUUUAAGCCAAACAAGAACAACUUACCAUUUUUUUUGGAAAAAUAAAGGAGGUAGAUUUUUUUGGAUUUAUGGUUAAAGAAGAAAACAUGGGUUUUAUUGAAAUUUAAGUAUUCAGUUUCACCAAAAAGAUACGGAGACCUGCUUCACAUUUGGAAUUACACAAAAAAGAUUUUUCAUCAGAAAGAGGUCUACAAUGACUUUUGGGAAAAUUUCGAAGUUUGCUGGCUUAUUUGGCAAAGAAAUUAGAGUACGUUAUAAGAAAUUAAUAGGUCAGUUGAAUAUUAGGGAGCAAUAAUUUAACCAUUCAAUUUUUUUUUCUUGUUUUCUCUUUUUUAGUAGUCUUAGAUUUUUCAUUUUGAUGAGCCUCGCCAUGACCAAAAAAUUGGUGGGGCUUCUUUUUUAGGGAUAUAAAAAAUUGGUGGGGCUAGUUGGGGCAUAAACCAAACACACCCCAUGACAAUAAAAAAAAAGAAAACCAAACACACCCGAAAGCUUUUCUUUUCUGCAGAACUAGCCCAGUUGCUGGCGCGGGCUCAUUUCUGGGCCUCGAUUGCAUGGGCCGAGCGGGCUAGCGCUACCACGCUAGCUAGCGGAGCUCCUUUACCUCAAAAAAAAAAAAACUAGCAGACCUCCUCUUACUCCCGUGGAUGCUCUGCUCGAACCCCACCACAUCGGAGAUCGGAGACACGUCGCCGGCCGGCCGGGAUCCUCCGUCGCAGUUGUCGCCGUCCUAGUUCCUCCCUCGAAGCCACCUAUCCAUCCCCGAUCGGCCGCCGUCGGGCUACCGCGGUCGACGCUCGACGGACUAGUCUGCCUUUCUUGGAUGGCGCCGGAGACGAGAGCCGGCGAGCGGAUAGGAGGAGGAGGGGGAGGGAGGCCCGCGCUUUGGGGACGGCGCUCUUCGGCGUUCUGGAGCCGAAGAGGGGAAGUGGGGGGAGGCGCCGGCCGGUGGCCACUCCGUUAAGUGCGUGCACGGCUGUGCUAGGUACCACUGCAACCCGAGUUUUUAGUCCCACAUCGCCGAUUUAGGUGCAAUUCGGCGGAUUUAUAAGAAAGUAAAAAAAGAAAAAUUCACAGUCUCUUAAAAUGGCCGUAAAGGGGAGUAAGGGGGGUUUCAAAAUUCCACAGUCUCCUUACAAAAAAGAAAUUAAAUAGAAAUAAAUUCCUCUCCAAGAUUUUUUUUACUGUAAUUUUGAGACGGCGACUAAUUUAUGUGCCACUUUUGUUCGGUAAUUCCUCUUUCAGUCCUAGAUUCACUUUUGUUCGGUAAUUUGUCAUGAGAUUAGUAGUAAGAAUCCUACUGUGAUUUCCUACAGAUUUUUUUCCUUUGCAAACCACCUUAUGCCGUAGACCCCUCAUUCAAAAUACCUAUGUUUCUGUCUAUAAGAAAAAAAUGCCUUGCCUACCUGUUUUCCUUUACAUGUUAUAUCGAAUUUUGGUCGUAAGAUACUUAAAUGGUCGUGCGAAAGCUAUUACGGCUCUGUACGACAUUGUUGUGGCUUUUGGAAGCACUUAUUAUGUUUUCUACUUUAGGAUGCACAAAUAGUUAAAAGCAUGUUUGUUCGAGCAAUAACAGCAUCAAACUGGGAUUAGUAAAGAUUCAAGCAAUUAACUAGAUUCCACUGCACAGUACAUCAUCCACAAAUUGACCCUAAAGCAAAUAUAUGCCACUUAUUUCUCCUUUUUUUUGGUCAGAUGGUGUAUUUGAACUGUAAGAAUCUGGUGUGCAAGCUGUUCUGAAUCUUACUGAGAUGUUCUUAACUGAGCAUAUCUCUGAUUUCGAAAUACUGUCUGGGCUUGCUGUAGCUGUUGUUUCUUAUGAAUCCAAGACCUUUGCUAUUGAAGUUCAGGUACUACAUAUGAUGAUCAUUCUCGAGUUGUGAUUUAUUUUCCUUCCAACAAUUCAUACUGUUUAUUUUGUCUCCUAGUGUAAUAGUAUCAUGUUGAGCUUAAUUUAACUUGUCAUUUACCAAUAAAAUCCAUCUUUCAUUGCAUUUAUCAGAGAGAUUGACCUUGGCGGUGAACUUAGAACUGUAAGUUCCUAUGAUUUUCUGCUUUGCGUGACCAUGUAUUGACUGCAGAUAUUCUAUGUUGGUAUUUGCGGCUUAAAGGAAAGAGCUUGUGUUUGAUAAGGGUAAUAUGCAUUUAGAGGAAAAGAAUAAAGACAUGAAUUUGGAAACAGGAUAAUCUCUGUUCAAAAUUCAGAUAAAAAAAUCAGUUUCAGAGUUUAUCAAUCCAUUGCAAGUUUGUGAAGCUGCCCAUAUUGUAACUUUUUAUAUAUGUUCAUUACUCUCCACACAAAGUACAGCAUUACAAUAGCACUCAGCUUAAAAUAUAUAUACUAUACACAAUGCACCCAUUCUUCUCUCUGUUAGCUCUGCUGUUAACAAGUGUAUAUGUAACUCACUAUGUACAGUGCAUCUAACUCAAAACUGAACAAACAAUAGCUGCUGUCUAUCUUUGCUAACAGAAAUGCUAACAGAUGAAGGUGGCGCACAACCUCGGACUCUGUGUAGGGCAAGGUAUCUAGUACUGUGGCAUCUCAGCAGGGACAGUUGGGCUAAGAAAGGAUUCCCAAGGUAUGUUGCACUUCCAGUCAUCUGAAGAGUCUGCUCCUAAAUCGAAUGGGAAGUUGAGUCUCCCCGGAGCCUCCAACUCAUUGUUCAUACUGAAAGUAUUGCCAUGCUUCAUUGUGGAUGACUCUUGGUUCCUGCAGCUCAUGCCGGCAUUUACAUCUGCAGAAGAAUCAGCCAGAAAUCCAGUGAUCUGCUGCUCAGGCUGCCCAAACUGCAUGUUGAAGAGCGGUGGUGCAGUGUGCACGGGCUUCUGUGAUGUCUGUGUUUGGAAUGGCAAGAUGGUGGGACCUUCCAGUUCCAGAGAUGGACUGCAGUUGAAGCUUAUGACCUUGCAUGAAGAGCCAUCCUGUGUGUUGCUGGGUUUCUGAAGCUGCUGCUGUCCCUGGAACCCAUGUUUGCUGUUGAACUGACUUGCUGGUGCCUCUGCAACUUGCAAUGAGCGGGAGGAGCUCUCCGAAGCAAAAUGUGAAGCUUGCAUCGGUUGCAUUGCGGAGAAGAGAUCUUGCUGAGUUGUCCCAGGCAAUGGAGGCCCCCAAGUGUGAGACAGCACCAUUUGCUGUGCCAUCGAACUGGUCUUCUUGAAGAUCUUACAUAUGGUCCAAGAGUCCUGUUUUGGGCAACAGAAAAGUGACCUUAAGAAUUUGACAUAACAUUUGAAUUUAGCUCUGUAACUACAUAAUAUGAAUUGAAAUGCUUACGUUGAGCGGGAUGUUCUUGUCGAUCGGUCUCUUGGGAAGUGAUGGAUCGGUUAGCGAAGGAAGCCUGAACUCAUGCAUCAUCCAGUCGGUUUUGAUCCCUCUUGCUGCCCUACCUCUGUAGAAGACAAGGGACUUCUUCAGGCCUAUGCACCUGGUGUCUUCGGAGGAGUAGAUCGGCCUGUCUGUUCCUGUGGCUUUCCAGAACCCAGCUGCUGUGACUCGGUUUGGCCUCGCGCUGUUGCGAUAUUUCCGGUCCCUCGGGCAGUAGAAGUACCAGUCCGUCUCACCGGUGCUCGCAAGCUCUGUCGUUGAGAAGGGAUAUGGAAGUUAGACUUUGCAGCAGUAAGGUGAGUAAUCCAUCUAUGUACUGUAGGCUAGCUUGUGAUGAGAAGAUGGUCAAUACUACUACUGAUUUCGUUCAACUGAACCUCCAGUGAACGGAUGAGCCCAAGACUUUCUUAACUAAAGAUUAAGGGUGAAACCAACUUAUGUUGAAUGAGCAUCCUAAUUCCUAGCCUCUCCUUGGAAGAUACUAGUACAAUCUUUGGAAUUCUCAAAAGUCAAUUGCGUCCAAUCUGUUAAAGAGAGAAAAAAAGAUGUAUAACAAGGAGAGGUAAGAAGAUGCAAGCUUACUUGGGAGGUCCCACGGGUCAAACUUGUAGAUGUCCAGCUGCCUGAUGAGCUCAAUAGAGAUAGGCUUUUGCUGGAUCUUCUUCUUGAGGUAGAAGCUAACGAGCUCUUCAUCGGUAGGAUGGAACCGGAACCCCGGCAUGAUGAUCUCUUCUGAUUUGUCCAUGUUGACAUCAUUUAUGCCCUCCAUUGUAAGUAAUCUCACAAAGGCUAGCUUGUGCAGUAGUGAAUGGCUUCUUGGGAUGAAGCUGCUGAGCUGAGGUGAAGACAAUCACCGGCCGAGAGGUGUACUUAUAUGCUACCUGGAGCGACUGGAUGAGGCCCACAGGUCUGAAGGGUCCUGUUCUUCCUUUAAUAAUUCCUUUUAGUUCAUUCUCUGUUUGAAAGCUGCCAAGAUUAGUUUAAUGCUGGAUUAGUAUCUCAACUAAGACAGGCCGCGCUGCAUGAAGAGAUGGAUGCCAGUCACUUUCAGUUCACACUUAGAAUACUCACGCACGGCAGUAAAAACAUUCUUAAACUGUAGUACAGCAACACUUGCCUUGUAGAUUUAGUUUUGAUUUUCUGUUUUCAUCUUUUAUUAGCCUCCCCAGAUAAACGAAAAAGACAUGCAAUUCCAGUACGCGGCAAUAACCGACCGAAACUAUAAAUGCAAAUCUUAUUGAGCACCUUUAGCUUUAUUAACAGCAAUGAAUAUAUAUAUUUUUGUUGUCAGUGAAUAUUGAUGUUCUUUCAAUACCUGAAACGAAAAUUCUCCGUUUCAUGUGAGUGCUAAUGGUAAUCUGUACUUUUUUCUCGAAAAGGAGGAUAACCCCGGACCUCUGCAUCAAGCGAUGCACACAGCCAUUCUUUAUUAAUUAUUGAACAAAGCCUUACAAAGUAAUACAUCAAUGAGUCUGAAGCCACCCUCCUGGCAACAACUGUCGCUACUCCUACCAACAUGAUGAAGGAGGUGCACAUAAUGACUGCUAACAGUAAUCUGUACUUAAUUAGUCUAACUUUUGAUUCUCCGUUUUAUAUGCAGUUCCCUAAUUAGUCUAGGUUUUGGGCAUUACAUAAUGUGAGUGCUAACAUUAAUCUGUACUUAAUUAGCAUAACUUUCAAUGUCCAUGCGUGUGUGUGUGUGUUUGUGAGAGAGAGACAGAGAGAUAAGAGUCCUACUGACUGAUUACCCAGAGAUAGUGAUGGCCUUACCAGUGUAAUUUCCUUGCACUUUUUAAUGAAGUAGCGUGAGGUACCCUGCUAGCUGAGUGUUGGAGCAGAAGAUUCUUAGUAAGGACAGUUUUGUAGACUAAAUAAAUUUUACUAAUCGCCUGAGUUGCCACGGUGGAAAGCCGGUCCAAUUUGCUCCAACAGCUAGUCAACUUUUUUUGCUGGUCACUCCACACGGCACAGUUGUUUCUUGCCCCGUUGCACACUCCAGAAAGUAAUGAUGAUCUGUCUAUUCUGUUCUCAGGAUCCACAUGACGAACCGGGGAAGGGCCGUCUUCGAUGACAUCAGACCCGCUUGAUCGACACUGUCAAGGCGGCAGAGACAGGGGUGUGGGCUCGAUGGUCGGUAGGCAACGAUUGUUCCGGCUAGCUCUUGUAAACCUGGGUCAUCCUUGUUGGUGUUGAACAUUUUUUGUUUCUCUCGUAAGCUUGUAAGCUUUCUUGUUUCUCUCGUAAAUCGACUGUCGGUGGACCAUGUUUUCUUCAUGCACAUGAGACAUCUGACACUGCAUCAGCAAACUCAAACAAACUUGACGCCAAGUUUAUUUUCCUGGCCGACACAACGUCAGCAAACUGAAAGGAUUUUGAUCAAGGUCCGUCAGUUAUUUAUUCCUGACAGACUGUUCAAAUUUUUGUGCGGAAACUGAUACAUCGUCCUGUUUUUUCGAAGUUAAAGGCACUGCAAGCAAGCAAAUGGCCGUGAGCAUGAUCAAUUAAUCUUCUCACUCUGCAACUACUAAGCAACUACUUGGAUCUUCAGAGGUAACCCUGGCUUCCCGAAUGAACUAUUCAAUGAAAACUAACGCCGUAAUUCAGUAAAUCAAAGUGCACCGGCUGAACAGAGCUAGCUGAUUUUUCCACAUUCGAAGCACAGUCAUCAGCAACCUGGUACCAAGCACCCAGGGUUCGAAAAGGCGGUCACAAAUUCCCUUAAAUUUAACCAACAAGAACUGUGCAUGCAGCAUUCAUCCCAGACAACAGAUUCUAAUGCAAAGGUAACCAGAGACAGCAUAACUAACUAGGAUCAGUUCCAAGAGCAUUAAGAAGUCUCAGACACUUAAUUAAACAGAUUCUGGCCCACAAGACAGAGAUCCACACAAGUUACUACGAUAGCAAGCAAAACAGCAGCUAGUUUAGUGCUGAACUGAAAGCAACAAGUUGCCUUGAGAUGCUAGUAAUGAAGCACUUAGUUUGCAUUCUUGAUAAUGCUCCAGAUAACGCAGCACCACCAAAGCUCUCCCUGCCACUGCGGCCAUCAACAGCCUGUGUCAAGGAAAAGUUGACAAAUGUCAGGCUCCAUUGCAGCAUAUGAACAGCAUCCUGCAUGCCCAAGCCCAAAAGAAUCAAAA
rnacentral:lncRNA from 1 species